CUCAUUGCUUAAUGAUGCACGUAAGUAUGAUGGUAUUAGGUUAUGCAGCUCUUUUAUGUGGAUCAUUAUCCAAUCUUAUAGUGAUUACUGGUAAAAAGAAGAAUUUAUGAAAUGCCUUAUUUUCUCCUUUGAUGAGAUCCAGAAGGGAACUAUUUUGUAAGAAAGACUUCCUUUUUUUCUUCGAAGAAUUAUGAUCAGUCUCAACUGAUUCAACAAUUAGAUCAUUGGAGUUAUCGUAGGUUUAGUCUAGGCUUUCUCUUUUUUUUUGAAGCAUAGGUAUUCGGGCAGUAUGGGCUAAUGAGACAUGGGGAUCGUAUUGGAAUUGGGACCCAAAGGAAACUUGGGCAUUUAUUACUUGGACGAUAUUCGCAAUUUAUUUACCAUACGCGAACAAAUCAAAAUUUUGAAGGCUCUAUGGGUUUUCUUAUAAUUUGGAUAUGCUAUUUUGGGGUCAAUCUAUUAGGGAUGGGGCUACAUAGUUAUGGUUCAUUUACAUUAACAUCUAAUUUCAUUCAUUCAAGAAAGGGCCUGACGAAGACAAAAUGUAUCGGGUAUAGAUAAGAAAACUGUGUGUAAGACAUCGAGAACCUUUUUCAUCACUACAUUACUUGAUUCAAAUGGUUCUCACAAAAGCCAAAUGUAUGAGGACUUUUUUUUUGUCUUUCAUUUUUUUAUGAAAACUAUCUAGCAAAAUAAUUAGAGAAAAUAGCUUCGACCCGAAAAGAAAAUCUGGAUAAAUACCAAUACCUAUGACAGGUAUAAGGAUAGAGAUCGCAAGAAAGAACUCUCGUGGUCCCGAAUCAAAAAAAGAAGAAUGAAGAGCAUGAACUUCUAUCCAUAGAACAUCUGGCGUAACAUAGAUAAUAAAUAAAUGGGAGUGAAUAUAAUGAACAUUGCCAUUACCAAAGUAAUUACUAUUUUUGUCAUGACAAAAAAGACUAUGAAUUCUGCAACAAAACCGCUCAUACCGGGCAAUGCAAGGGAAGCCAUCGAUAAGAUACUGAAAGUCGUCAAUAUUUUCGGAAUUGGGAUGGAUAGCCAGUCCUUCCAUUUCAUCAAGAUAAACCAGACGUAUUCUAUCAAAACUUGUUCCCGCCAAGAAAAAAAGCGCAGCGCCAAUAAAUCCAUGAGAGAUUAUUUCUCAAAUAGCUCCAUUCAGUCCCGUAUCGCUUAUAGAACCAAUUCCUAUAAUUAUGUAUGAAAGGGAAAGAGUUGGAUAGGAGGACUAUUCUUUUUUUUCAAUUGCGUUGACCCAGCUGCAUAGAUUAUUUGAAUUAUGCCUACUAUGAUCAACCAGGGUUCAAAGAUAGAAUGGGCGUGGGGUAAUAAUUCCAUAUUGAUCCGAACCAAUCCAUAUGCUCCCAUUUUGAAUAAGAUUCCGGCUAGAAGCAUACAAGUACUGUAAUGUGCCUCUCCGUGGGUAUCUGGUAACCAUGUAUGUAAGGGUAUAAUCGGUGAUUUGACAGCAAAAGCAAUAAGAAAUCCGAUAUAGAAUAGUAUUUCCAGUGCUAUAGGAUACGAUUGAUUAGCUGAUGUUUCAAAAUUGAAAGUUGGUUCAUUAGAACCAUAUAAACCGAUACCCAGAACUCCCAUUAACAAAAAAAUGGAACCUCCCGCAGUGUACAAAAUCAACUUUGUAGCUGAAUACAACCGUUUCUUUCCGCCCCACAUCGAUAGAAGUAGAUAAACGGGAAUUAAUUCUAACUCCCACAUGAGAAAAAAUAGUAAGAGGUCUCGAGCAGAAAAUGAUCCUAUUUGACCGCUAUACAUUGCUAACAUUAGAAUAUACAUUGCUAACAUUAGAAAAUGGAAUAAUCGGGAAUCUCGAGUAACUGGCCAAGCCGCUAAAGUAGCUAAAGUGGUGAUAAACCCCGUCAGUAAAAUGGGUCCUAUGGAAAGUCCAUCGAUUCCCAAUCUCCAGUAAAAAUCCAAAAAAGGGAUCCUCUGGAUUAAUGGAUCGUCUAAUUCUCAAUGAUAACAAAACGCAUAGGUUCUUAGAAGCAGCUCGAGUACACAGAUACAUAUAGUAUACCAUCUCAUGACUUUAUUUCCUCUAUGAGGGAAAAAGAAAAGUAAUAAACCCGCAAAUAUUGGAAAAACUACAACUAGAAAAUAAUUCGUAGUAAAAACAAGAAUGAAAGAAAAAAAAUAUAUAUAUGGGUCAAAAAGAAAGAAAAUGUAUUCAAGGGGGCUUUUAGAGAACGUAUCAAUAAGCUAGACCCAUGCUUCGAGUUCUUUCAUGCCAUAAAUAAAGGCGAACACUCAAGAAAUCCGUCGGACAGGCAGAUUCACAUCUCUUACAACCAACACAGUCUUCCGUUCGUGGAGCCGAAGCUAUUUGCUUAGCUUUACAUCCGCCCCAAGGUCUCAUUUCUAAUACAUCUGUGGGGCAAGCUCGGACACAUUGAGUACACCCUAUACAUGUAUCAUAAAUCUUUACUGAAUGUGACAUUGGAUCUAUCAUUUUUUUUGAAGACGAUAAACGAGUCAAUUUGUAAAUGAAUUAUAUAUUUAGAUACCAGAUGACUCAGAAUUUUGAUAAUAAAUCUACUUUCAGAUUAACUCAUGCGAUAGGGCCAAGAUACUUUGAAUUUUGACGUUUUCGUAAACAUUAUCAUGGAUUACGUAUGAUACAGAUAAUUUGACUUGAUGAAUAUAAUCAUUUAUCUCAUAAAUCAAGAAAUAAAUACUACUUAUUCUGAUUGAUACGAGUUGAUUUUCAGUUACGAUAAAUUGACGAAAGAAUAGCUGGGCCAAUAGCUGCUUCAGCAGCUGCAAUAGCUAUAACAAAAAUUGAGAAAAUAUUCCCUCAGAAAAUGUUACGAAAUUCAUAUUAACUGCAUUAAGUAUAAGCUCAAGACACAUAAGGGCCCUAACCAUAUUUCGGCUCGUGAUCAAUCCAUAGAUACCGAUAGAAAAGAAAUAGGCACUUCUAAUAAGUACAUCUUCGAGUGAUCAACUCCUUAUCAAUUCCGAUUCAUUGAAAUAUGAACAGUAAUAGAUGAAAUUCAAUUGACAAAAAAAAAGUACAGAACAGAUCGAAUAAAAGAAUUUUUUGUUUAGUCUGAAAUAUAGAAUUGAAGGGGAAUGUGUGUGAUAACAUAGAACAAAGUUUCAUUUAUGCUAUUUCUAACUAAAGAUUUCUUACUGGCGAGCCACGGCAAUUGCGCCGAUCAAAGCAGCUAAAAGAAUGAUCGAAAUGAGUGAAAGUUCAAAUGGAAGAAAAAAGUUGAUAAAUCAAUUCCAAUUUGUUGACUAUUACUUAUGAAAUCUUGCUCUAGAAUCUGAUUUGAUCGUGUAGUCCAAAUAAUACCAUACCAUGACGUAUCUACAAUAGUAGUCAUUAGUGAAACAAAAAUACUUGUCAAAACCGGUCCAAAGAGAAAAAUCUUUGGAAUAUUCUGAACCCUUCAUGAACAUCACAGCAAAUAUGAUUAAAACAUUUAUAGCUCCCAUGUAAAUAAGGAGUUGCGCAGCAGCUACAAACUGGGCGUUUGCUAGAAUAUAGAAUAAUGAUAUAGAAAGAAGAACCAGUCCCAACGAAAAAGCAGAAUAAAUGGAGUUGUUCUUUCGUUAGAUAGAGAAAACCGAGAAAGUCCUAUCGGGUCCUUCCUUCCAUAUGGAUGGUCCUACGGAUAAAUCCUGCGGACGUAGGACUCCGGACUGGUCCAUUAGAAAAAUCUAGUGUGUGGAAAUUCACAUUGAGAACUGGUCCUAAAAUAGAAGAAAGAAGACAAAGAAAGAUAUUGCUGGUCGGGAAAAGAAAUUCAAUGUGAACACUUAUAGUUUGGUAGGUGGUCCUAAAAUAGAAGAAAGAAGACAAAGAGUGAAGCUUCUAGGUGGUCCGGAGAAAGAAAUUCUAAGUAGUUUAAGGCUGUUCGCUACGCUACGCUGGAAAACGGAAAAACAAAGGGAAAAGAGAAAAGAAAGAAAGGUAAGAGAAGCAUCUGAGAGAGAUUCCACCUAAGAAACUGUGAACCGGAAGUAGGGUUGGAAUCUUGGUAAGGUUGGGUUGGUCUUAAGUAUAGUAGAAUGUAUUCCCAAAAGAGUUCGUCUUAUAGGGGAAAGAAGAAAAAAAAGGAAGACAGAAGGUUCAAAGAAGAUUUCCAGAAGGGAAAAGAAGGAUUUCAGUCCCUUGACUAGUAUAGUAAGGGACUACGAGCAACUCCUACUAGCCAAAACAGCUACAGCUUUCAGCAUCCUCAUAUGCUUCCUAGCCGUAAAAGAUUCAAUGCAGCCUUAACUAGAACUAGAUAGAUUAGGCAAGCUCCACCAAUACCUAUCGCGAAAGCGAAAGCGUAUUCAAGGUCCAUCUGGAGUUCAUUCUUCUGAUAGCGGAAAGGCUGUGCCUUUGAUCUGAGGAAUUGCAUAGAUAGAUAGAGUUCCCCCUCGAGGAACCUGCUGACCUAGCCUUAGAGUAGAGCGAAUUUCUUCUCAAAUUCAAUUCAGUUCAAAGAAUAUUUCAAAGCGCAAAUAAGCUUCUAUUCUAUGUUCGUAAUAAGGAAGGAAAGCCUAGCGGAGUCUGACUCUCUUCUGUGGAGUUUGAUUCCUUUCACUUCUUUUGCACUCAUAUGAAAUGCGAGUUGAUACCGAGACUCUUUCCCUCAGACAUCUCGACCGGGAAGAGAAGACCUCUUACUCGAGUUGCUUGCCUUCUACCGAUUGACUCCUUCUAUUCCCCUUAUUGAACUUCUUUGUCCCUAUUUGCCUACGUCUCCUUGCUUCCGCCCUUGCUUGCUUCAAAAAAAAAGAAAGAGAAGGUGAUUCAAUCCUAACUGCUAUACAGUCGAGAUAGAGGUCCGCCUGCUUGAAAGCGAUUCUUCGUGGAGAGAAGCUUGGCCGGAGUCCGGAGACAAAGGAUUGAGAGAAGGACGGUAGUUCACCAAGUCGAUAUUCAAACCCAUACCAUCUCCUACUUGGCUACUGGAAAUUCAGAUUAUGCUCGUCAGAAAAAGGAAUCGAGUUUGGCUUUGAAGCUCACUCUAGCUCUAGAGAAAGCAAGAGGCAAGGCAAGCUCCAUGAAAGGUUGGCUCCCAGCUCCAGAGAGGAUAUUCAAGAAGGAUCCCAUCUAUCUCUCUUAGUGAUAGUGAGGGAUCAUUUUUUCAAGUUGAAGUUUCCUUUUUUCAGAAGAUUUGAUCUAUUAAGCUACGUAGGACCAGUCCUCUUCUUUUUAUUCCUUUCUAUGAAAAGAUUCAUACUAUGAUUCUAAAUCAAGCCUUUCAUCCGCUCCGUUUUCCUUAUUCUGAGGAAGACUCAAAUAUCCUAUUAUUCUACUAGAAAGAGGAAAGAGAAGACAAUGCGUCUCCAGGGCGUGUCGGCGAAUAAGUUGAUAUUCAGAACUAAGAAAGAAAUAAGAGGAUAUUAGAAAGAUAUUAAGUCCGGAGAAGGACUUGCGCUCUUCUGAACUUAUAUAAAGUCGCUUCGCUUCUCCCGUCCGGAGGACCUGUCUUAUGGCGCCUCUUCUUUAGCUUGGAUGGGCUGUAGAAGGGAAGGACUUGCUCGCCCAAUGACCAUUUCCGGCUUUGAUCACGAAGAAAGAUGUCUUUCGGCCUUAAACAAGGCCUUCCUUUCAUCCGUCUCUUCUUCGAUCGGUAGCAGCAGUGGUUUCGGAUGUCUCAUCCCUUCUUCGAUCGGCUCGGUAAGAGAGCUAUUCAUUCCAAGGGACCUCAUGAAAGGAUUAAUUCAAAGGAUUAACCAGGAAAUCAGCCUUUCCAUCUCAAGAUCGAAAAGAAAGAAAGGUCCAGGCGCAAAGAAUAUAUAGAGGAGCAAAGAUCAUGGCCCACGUAGCGGUGCCAUAAGACAGGUCCGAAGGCAGAAUGAAAUAUGCCUUGAAGAUGAGGAAUUGAGUGAAAGAUUAGACAUUUGUGGAUUCUUCUUAAUCAGUUCAUUAACGAGAAUGAAAGAAUAAUUCUGAUUGAAUAACGAGAAUGAAAGGAAAGAAGAAUUAUGAAUCUGCUAGAUUUCAGACAUCUUUGCUUAAUAUGGGCAGUUCCAUACUCUCUUUUUUACGGAGGGAAAUGCUAGGUUUUGGGCCUAUAAAGUAGCAAGAAAAGACAAAAAAUCAGUCAAAAUUGAUCUAUUUUCGUUAGAUAAGAAAAGUCGAAAAAGUCCUAUUUAGAAGCAAAAAAGCCGGGAAAUUGCAACUGGUCCAUUAGCAAAAUCUAGGGAAAAUCAAUGAACAGAGUUUUCUUAUGGUUUCUGGUCCGGAUACUGACGGGUCUAUUCUUGAUUCCGCUCCGGAGAAAGAAGACAAGGAACCCUAUGUAUGGGGGAAGUUUUCACUUCCACAAAUUAUGGAAGAGGCCCUGGCCCGUACGAAAAAGAAGGCCGGCCUUCUGAAAGCGAGACCCUUGAAAAUGGGUGACGUUCUCAAUAGACUACGGAACCAUAAAGAAUGGUCCCAUGUACUAAAGGACCCAGAGCUACAAAGGCAUUUGUGGGCGAAGCAUAACGUUGUACAAGAACUUUGGUAUCACCUCAAUCGCGAAAGCAGGAAAUUACAGAGUAUGGCUGAGACAGGUCCUCCGGACUCGUUUGUUGUUUAUCCAUUUCCUGCACGCAAAGCGUGGGAACUCCAAUUAUAUACUCCUCCCGAAAAAUCUUUCUUUAUCGAUUGGCUCGCCGUAAACCGCGUAGUGGGUGGAGUGACUCAUUCAAGAAGAUCCGCAAGAGAUCUCGCUUCAGCAACUGGGAUUGAUUCUUCUGAGUCAGAAGUCGUAUUAAGAGGUAUCCUCCGCGCUGCCGAUGGAGAUCCCGCGUCCGUCGUUCAUGCUUUACUCGGCUCUCCCACUUACAGGAUAGAAUCCUCUUGAUCCGGGGAUAUUCCCUAGCUUCCUAAACGGAUUCCCCGCUUCCCCGAGACCCCUACCCUAUCCUACUAUUCAUACCUCGGAACAGCAGUUCCACUCCGAUCCCUAGGGAAGAGUUCUUAUCUAGCGUCCUACUCUACGAACUGAAACAUAGCUUGCUUCUGAGACAGAAAGAGCGGCUGCCACUGCCUAUCCUUAUGUCUCUGACUCAUACUCAUUCAUUCCUCUUUUCCUUACUCAUGGAGUGACUGACGAAAGAAGACUUCUACGGAAUCAGAGUUGAGAUAUUUUUCCCUAUAGAAAGUCUCGAUAUUCUAACCUCUCCAACUCGGUCCUAACCCUUCAGAGUUCUAGCUGCCUUGUUAUGCUGCCUAUAGCGACUCUGCCUCUCCUUCGUUCACCCUACUAUUAUAUUCAAUCAAGCUCCUUUCUUCUCACCUCUCCUUUUUAGUAGUCUCGCGUCUGAGAACACCUACCCGAACGGACUUCUUCCCCUCAUCUCGUGGCUUCAUGGGGAACCCCCUCACUCAAGAGCACGCUUGACAUCUGUCGCCCAGUGCUACCCGUAAGAGACGGCGGUGGGCUUCGGCUAACCUGUCCGCCUCUGGGUUGGGGAGUUUGUCCCUCUUGUACGAGCCUUUUGUUGGGAGUCUUUGUCCCAGAACCCUGCAUUUACGGAUAAUCCGUAGAGUGAGCUCAUCUCUCUCCCUCGUCGAGCUCAUCUGCACCCCUGUUUUUUGGGAUUUGACUUGUUCAUAUAUGAUAUUUCUAAUAAUGGCUUUGCCACAGGAAACUUCUGUUUCAACCGUGGAGUGGGCCGCAGCAGAAAAGUUUCACGAACAGCGCGCGUCCCUAGCUGCCUAAUCAAUCCUAUGAAGAAAGAGAGGCUGAUUACUCUCGCCUACGGGUGGGUGAUCUGUCCGUCCGUGGGGAGUUUUUCCGAUGCCUACGAAUUUUGCGGUUCCAAGAUGGAGAAUUCUCAUAAAUGAGAGUGAACUAUAAGGAAAAGCGAGGACAGGUCCGAGCGGUUGAAGAGCAGCCCACUAAGUGCUUGAGCACCAAGUCCAGACUGAUCUUCCAGCUGAAUUACCAUUUAGAAAGGGAGAAGAUUCAGUCAGUGAUCCACUACGCCUUUCAACAAGCACUUGAUCCUAUCCUACGCGUAGCGGUGGCUUCUCCCCUCUCAUCAUUUUGAGUCGUCCGGAGGACUCAUAAACACCAUUUGCACAUAAUGCACUCCUAAUCCUAAUAAGGGAAUGACCUUAUUCAAUGAGCUUUGACCCUCUCCUCUAUUUGGAGUCGAGUUCUUUCGUCUUUGAACGGCUCCUUCACAGAAUAAGGAAUUCGCCCUUGUUCAUUGACUCCUUCUUAGUCGAGCUUCUUCGAACCCUAUUGUUUUGAGUCGUCCGGAGGACUCAUAAACACCAUUUGCACAUAAUGCACUCCUUCUAAGAACCUUUUCAGUCGCCCUUAGAUUAAUAGCCCUCAAUCAAAAAGAAAGUCACUAGACGAUCAUUGAAUAAAGAGACAGACAGAUGAAUAUGACCCUGAAUUCAACUCAAAUUCUUUGAGCCUUAGAAUUCUAAUUGAAGCAGAUUUUCCACUGAGGACGGACGCUUUUAUCCACUAAAGAAAAGAUGGAACUCAAAGAAUAGGUUGAAUGAGCAACAAGAAUCUCCAGACUGAGUACGGUUAUUCGCUCCAAACUACAAUCAAAACUAUACAAUCAAACUCCAAUAAAACAAUAAUCAAAACUCCAACUCAAAAACAAGGGUUAGGACUGUUUGAUUUUCUUUUCUUUAUCUAUUUUCUUGUUAUAUUUUUGAUUGUUCUAGUUUUGUUGUUGUUUGAGUGGAUUGGGUAGGUGCACCUCUCUAAACUCAAAUCUCGCCCUCUGCUUCAUUUCAGUCUUUUUUGGUCCGAAGUCUUUAUCAAGCUUUUCCUGUGGACGCUAUCAGUCCGAAGGACUAUCCAUUAGACUGCACCUCGCAAUAUUCUUUGCGCCUUCGGACCUGUCCUACGUCCGCAGUGCCAAAGAAAGGUCCAGGGUCCGGAGUCCGCAGUGCCAAAGAAAGGUCCAGGGUCCGGAGUCCGCAGGAUUUAUCCGUAGUCCGGAGGAUUUAUCCGUAGGACCAUCCAUAUGGAGGGAAGUAGUCCUACGUCCGCAGUCCGCAGGGCCAAAGAAAGGUCCAGGUGAUUUAUCCGUAGGACCAUCCAUAUGGAAGGAAGUAGUCCGGAGUCCGCAGGAUUCUUAUCCGUAGGACUAUCCAUAUGGAAGUAGGACCAUCCGUAAUUAACCGAAGUAGGACCAUCCGUAAUUAACCGAAGUAGGACCAUCCAUAUGGAAGGAAGUAGGACUCUAAAACGGACCACUAUUUAAAGUUCCCCUUUAGGGUAGAGUCACCAAGAAUAUCCCUGUCCGCAAUAUUCUUUGCACCUCCGGCAGUGAGAGGAUGAAUUCAAUUUUCGAAGGCUCGCCUAAAUUUUCAGUGGAAUAAGACUCAAGAGGAGCGGUCCGGAGGUUCAAAGAAGAUUUCCAAGACUGCCCACUCCGCGGGGCAAAGAAUAUUGAGUCAUCAUAUUUUCCAGUCAAAGAAUAUUGACAAAGAAUUAUCGAAGUCAAAAGGUUUUUUAGUGGAUAAGAGAGGUCCUUCGGUCUAUAUUAAGCUGCUCCUAAGAUAAACAAGUCAAAAGGUUUUUAGUUCCGCAAUAUUCUUUGCGCCUUAUCAAUUCACGCAUAUUUCAUUGCGCCUGCGGUCUCGCAAUAUUCUUUGAACAUCUGGACCCCUUAUAAUAGAAAGCUCCAGAUGAGUUGACGGAUCGAUGGAAUUCAGUCUUAAGGAGUCCAAUUCAAAGAGAGAAGAGGCCCAUAUGGAGAUGUCGAUCUUUCUCUUUUUCUUGCCUGGGGAAGGUAUCGUUCGGAGGCCGUGAGCUACCUCCGCUGUAUACCCCAAGAACUCCUAUCUCUAAGGGGGCCGGGAAAGAAAAAGAAUUACUAUUCUCUGCAGAUUCAAGGGUCAAAGAAUGAUCGAGGGCUAACCCCUUUAUUUAGGGAAAGUCCGUCCGAUUCGUUCAUCCGAUAAGUUACUUUAUUAAAUAAAGAAAGAUAAGACGAGUUAAGCUUGCAAAAAGAAAGAAUGUCAUCUUGAGCCUGAAUUUUCUGACUUAAGGUUGAGGCGGAGGCUCAAAGAAUCCCACUACGCGGGAUAGUCCGGAGGACUGGAAGGCGCAAAGUGCCCAUUAGAGAAUUUGACUUUGGAGGACUAUCCAUAUUAACCCAGAGAAAGAUUAGACUUGGUUAAUUAUGACAAAGACAAAGUACUAUUUCAAGGCUUUCUUUUAACAAUGUAUCAAAGAGAUCUUAUUCAAGAAAUUACGGAAUAACUGGAGAGAGAAUACGAAGAGAAAGAUAGGUUCAGCAUGAAAUCAAUGAACAAGGCUCAAAGAAUUUGAGUCUGCCAAUUUCUGUUAUUCAUCUUUGGCGGAGUACGAAGAUCAAGGGAUGAUCAUUCCUCUCCUUUACUCUCUCGCUACGGUCUUCUCUCUCUCCUAAACCUACUCAUAAUUCUAUCUUGCUACCCGACCUAGGGUUUGAAGCUGAGAACCUCUGGAUCUGACCUCCAACUUCAGAGGCUGCUUCAUACCGCUCCGUGGGUUCCUCAUCCCUAUCUUCAGAGUGUAGGGGUUUCCUCAAUGAAAAGAGGCUCACUCAUUCCUUUUCCUCUCCUAGGACGGAUGCCUCUUCCUCUUCCUUUGGUCUCGCUACUUUCUUCCUUCCACUCCGCACCCUCUUCUUGUUGGAAUGUGUAAAUGGGGGAGAAUACCGGGGGAAUGAUAGCAAGGAAACUGAGACUUAGAAAUUUCUCUGGAUCUUCUCUUCUAGUAGGUCGAGCCAUUGCUUCCUCUUAGAGUUUCUGACUCCGGCAGGUCGCAAUAUUCUUUGCGCCUUGCUUCAAUAUUCUUUUCUUAGAUAAAUGCGCUUCGCUUCGCGCCUUGCCCUAGGUUCUGGGGAGUUGGAUACGGAAUCAAUCGCUAUUUUGCAAGGUUUUGGCCUAUGCUAGCUCUCACUUUUUUCGUGAAAUCAGACAAAAUGGACUCCAAAUCUUAUAUCGUCAGAUACUCAACUUAUCCUUGGACGGGUAAAUAGUCCUUUUAUUUAGAGGAAAGGCUCAAAGAAUUUGAGAAGGAGGCGCAAAGAAUAUUGCGACUAUUCUUUAUAUAUUGAUUUAGAUCCAUUUCAUUUCUUCUUUCAAAGACUAUUACAAACUUGACUCAGGGGGUCGAGCUCUUUUUCUCGACUGAUAUAACUAGGUAAAGCUCCUUCGCACCGCGUAGUGGGGCUUCGUUGAUACGGUAUUUGACUCUCAAAAGCCAGGGUUCGGCUUAGAAGAGGAGGAGGAAGAGAGGUCAAAGAAUCCAGUCACAUCAAGUCUCCUCGCUUCUUCUUAUUCUGCUUGAUCUGCCGAGAGAAGUCUAUAUUGGUCUGACCUUUCUUAUGAAUGGAAUACGAACUCUCAGUUCAAGAUCUGAUCAGUGUAUGGAAAGAAGACUGAAUACAAUGCCGGCUACUUCAAGGGGUCUGGGAUUUGACAACAAAAGACAUAGCUCAAACUGGUAAGUCCCCAUUUUCUUUGCCUGGGCGGGCCUAGGCGCCUAUUUCAGGAAGUGACUGAGCGUUGACUCAUACGAACCCCGCUACUUACUUAUUCCAUUCUACCAUCAAGCCUAUUUCAAGGAUUCUUUGCUUUCAGCGGAAUGAAAAUUUCAGGAUGCCUUGCGCAAAGAAUAUUGCGAAGUGAAAGGACUCAAACCUUUGUUCCCUUGUUCAUUGAGGCGGUAUGAAUAGGAUAGGAAUCCGUCCCCUUUCUAUUUGACAUCCGUUGAAGUGGAAACUCCAGCAAGGGAAGAUUUGUAUUCUCAGAUCUCGAAGGCAAGGGGUAAACUAAUCAGUCUCGAUCGGGGCCAGUAUCUCUUGUUUCAGUCAGCUGGGUAUUACCUAGUAGCCCUAUCUUAUGAACUUUUCCCAUAACGGUUUCGUCAGUCACUUCAAGAGACAGAGUUGGAGAUAGAGAGGUGAAGAUUAGAUUAAUAGACCGAGGUGUGAAGUUACCCUAUCUCUUUAGUUCUUUCGGUCUGAAUAUCGUAUUAGUUGAGGUUAGAAUAGAAAGACUGUCAAGUUUCGGGAUCUACGUUAGCGCUUUAGAAAGAUUGCAGGGCCUUGAGGCUUGACUAAGAAUCUCUCAAGGGCUUUUUCAGCUUACUCUGCUACAGCGGACCCCCACGUAGCGGUUAGCAGGGUGCCGCGCUUUGUGGGCUUGAAGGACGACGCGCCAUGACAAGUGGUAUCAGAGCCAAAGGUUCGGCCAAGCCAUGGCUAGUGUCCUCGAAGAGGCUGGGAGCAGACUCGUAAUCGUGUGGACGCCUUGUUACACAACUGAAGGGACAGAUUGAGAGCGAGCGGGUUGCUUCGGAGGAGAAAGAUGGGCUGCUUAGGCGGACCAAAAGACGUAAAGAAGGCGGAGCGUGAAGUGCAAUUAGAUCCAUUUUGAGGACGAGUUUCAGGCAGAAUGGAGGGUGGAGGUUGUGGUCCGACAUGUUGAUGAGCCUGAAGCAAAGAGGCUGCAUACGCGAGUAUGUGAAGGCGUAGUUCUCCCUGGACAUUUUGGAUAUGACGGUUAAAACCUAUCCAACUUUCGUUAUUCACACCUCUACUCUAAACUGUCAGCGGAAAAGAUAGUUACAAGAUAUAAGUCUAAGAAAGAAAUAAGAAGAUAUGAACUUCGAAUGCAAUAAGAAGAUAUAAUAAGAUAAGAAAGCUCCUCUCAAAGAAUAUCCUGUUGGUAUCGAUUUGCGCUCCUUCACACGUAGAAGGCAUCAAAAUAGAUCAAUGAAUGAGUCUUUCAGAGGAUAGGUCGGACUCAUAUAAGAAUGUAUUCAAGAUUCCACUCUCAAUCUUCUUUGAACCUUCGCAAUAUUCUUUGCGCCUUGUUUUUCUUCUCUUAGAAACUGUACUAAUCGCAGAGCUUUAUCAACUCAUAUAUAUUGAUAAAGGACUUAUUCUAGAUUUAUAUACUUAAUAGUUCAUAUCUUUUUAUUACUUUCGCACUUUCGCAGGAGCGCAAGAUAGAAAAGAUGUAGCAUCAAAGUGCAAAAGAAAAGAGGGGAGAGAGAAUGAGAUCUUCUUCGUAAAGCUAGAGGAAGAGUUCCGGAUCGAGCAUAUUCACACCUCAUCAGUCCAAGAAGGAAACCGAGAGAGCUGCUCAGCUCCUCUUGAAUAAGAGGUCAAAUUCUCUCUUUCUCCAAGCUAGAACUCAGAUAGAGACUAGCCUCAAGCGCGGACUCAGAAUCCAUCCUAGGGCUAGGAUCGAUAUAAAGCUGCUUUACCUUAAAGGAAAUAAAGGGAAGAUCAUUCAUCUUCUUUAUAGGGGGUGGUAUCUCAGAAUAGAUUCUAAGAAAGAAGAAAUUCAAUGGAUCUAUUCUCAACGCGCAAUAUUCUUUGGAGGAUCAAAGAGAAGGACCUUUCUUUUUGAAUUAUAAGGGGUCCAGAUGAGUUCUAAUCAAUAAAGAAGGCGCAAAGCAUAUUGCGUGAGAAGAUUUCCGGGGUUGAUUUUCAGAGAAAGAGUUUCAGUCUUUAAGACAAGGACUUCUUGAAAAUCCCCGAUUUUGAGAUUGAUAAUAAUUCAAGACCGAGGGAGCGGGAAUACUCUUUCCGUCGGCCGCAGAGCGGUUUACCUUAUUAUUUGACAGGUUGCUGAAUGAAUUGAGAAGGGAUUAUGCUUUAAAAGAUUAUGAGAAAUCUCAAGAGCGGAGUGCAGAGACGGAGUGAUAGGAGUGAGAGGGAAGAGAAUAAGAGCUUUAUCAAAAAGAUAAAGGACUACGUCUAUCUUGAAUAUUUAUCUUCUUCUUUAUGAUGAGGUGCAAAGAAUAUUGCUCAGAAAGAUUCAGUUAUCUUUGAGAAAUCCUAUGAAAAGUCGAUAUUCAGACCGCUCCGCUUCUUGGCUGACGAAGACUAUUACAUUCCUCUUCCCUUCUUUUUAGUUAUACAAGAAGAGAUUCUUCUUUCUUUUCUUGUUCAUAGAUCUUAAGUAUGAAAGAGAAUGACUAUGACCCAUAGUAAUCUUUGACUAUGGAAAUAGGAGCGCUUUCUAAUAGAAAAAAAGAAUGAAGAGCAGAUUUUGAUGGGUUCGCAGGAUUUCAAGUUCAAUUCGAUGAAUUCUUCUUUCUUUGUCAUUCUCGUGCAAUUUUCUUCAAACUUUUUUUUGGAAUGCCAUUUAGAAUUGAGAAUUCAGACUUUCCUUUUCUCAUAAUUCAAUGCUUUCCUAUCUUCUAUUUCAAGUUCAAUUUCUCGAUCUGGUCGAAAGAAGGUGAUUUAUGUAAAGAAAAGGAUAACCACCAUUUUACGUGGAUUCAUGAAAGCCAAACUCAAGGCCGAGGCCAAGAAGGAACUACUCCUCCAACUCCAGGCUGAAUAGGAGAAAGCCCUUUCAGAUUCAAAAUCAAGCUCCAGUGACCUAUCCUCAAUUUUGGAAGGAGUUAAGGAAGACGGAGCGGGGCAUGAUCCGCCCAUGGGGAGUGGCUCAUGGUGAAGCUAGUGGCUAUCUCAUUACUAUUUAGAUAAUCGGUAUAUUGACUUUUUUGACAAAGGUUUUCUCAUAUUUCGCAUCCAGCCUGCAUGGCUGGCCAUCAAGAAUGGUGAGUAGUCCCUUCAUAUAUGAUCCAGAUUCUUCCUGGUGGAAGCUGCUGGAUGAGUCCUAGGCUUUCCCGCUCCGUGGGCAUUGACAUCCAUAGAUCGUCAAAAUUCUUAGCUCCCGACUUCUGUGCCCAGUGGAAUAAAUGCGCAAGACCUUUGCUAGCGCAUAUUAAUAUCGACGGUCUUCUCUUCCUUUUGUAGAGGUCGUUUUCAGAGGCCUAUCUGCAACGAGGUUUACCGCUAGACUGGAGAGGAGCGAAAGCAGCUCGCUCGCAAUAUUCUCAAAAUUGUCAGUGGAAUUCAAUAUUCGAUAAUGAAAGCUGAGGAUCAAUGAAAUUUGAGGAGGAGGAGAGCGGCUCGCCUUAGAUAGGGGGAGAGGACUAGAUACUGAUCCUUUCAUUCUUCCGGGCUGUACUCGGCGGGCCUUCCUUGAAUAUCCAGAUAAGAAAGAAUGCUCUCAUGUCUUUCGACGCAAUAUUUUUUGCGCCUCUUCCCACAUCUCUUUUAGACUAUGGUAUCUCCCCCAUAGGGCCCUUUGAAGGUGUGAAUCCUGGAGAACUAAGAACCACUCGUCAUACUGAGUUUUCUUCCGCAAGAGGUCCUCUAGGGCAGCCCUUUUUUUGAUCUUUUACCUUGCCCAAGUUUUUCUUCUUUGCUACGGCAUUAGCCUCAUCCUUCCUUCCUUGAGUGAGUACUUUCCCCAAAGAUAGAGCUACCCUUAUCCUUACCCGCAUGGAAGAGAGUUCCCCAGCCUUUAGGUAAGGUAAGACUGGCUGCCCUCCCAUUCUUUUAAGGCCUUUCUUCUCUCAAAUUUCAUUGAUCCUUCAGGCAUUUUUCUUGUUUACUGCCACAUGGUAGUGCAUGCUCCCGUCCCUGUGCUUUUCUGUGGAUUUAGAAAGCACUGGAAGAGUUUCUGAAGUAGUAGUUCAAUUUCUUUUGGUUCAACUUCCUUCCUUCGUCUUUAUGGAUUUCGGCGUGAGAAAGAGUGAGAAGUAUGAACUUCCGUAAAUUCUUGCUGCUCAUGUCUCUGUGAUUAUAACUAGUUAGUUCAAUCCCAUUCCUAUUCCGAUUCUAUUCUACUGAUGGAAGAGCUAACGACUGCUCAUUCUACUUGAAAAAAGACAUGGAAUUCGCAAUAUUCUUUGCACCUUUUGAAGCGUAGCGGUGAAAGCUCAAAUUGCAUUGAGCCUGUUCAAAGUCAAUAAAAGAAAAGAAGAAUGAACUCAUUAACUCGAAUUCAAGAAUCAUUAUGAUUUCAUUGUACUCCUUCAUUGAUUUUGAGAUUGAAGACGGAGUGAAAUAAAGAAUAGACCUCUCAGUAUCCGGAACACAAACUAGAAGUUCUCAAUGUUCAUUUCUUUUACCUAGAUUUUGAUAAUGGACCAGUUGCAAUUUCCCGGCUUUUUUGCUUCUAAAUAGGACUUUUUCUCAUAUUGAUAAAUAACGAUAAUUGAGUGAAAAAGAAGGAAUUUUCAUGAUUUCUUGCUACUUCCCUAUGGGCAAAACCUAGCAAAAUCUUGUAUUUCCCUCCGUAAAAACAAGGCUCAAAGAAUUUGAGUAUUCUUUCAUUCGAGUUAAUGAGCUUCUUUGAUUGACUUUUUUCUUUUCUAGUUCACUUCCACGCAAUAUUCUUUGCACCUCUUUCUUAUCUUACCGCAAUAUUCUUUGCGCCUCCGUCUGCAACUUUGAGUGGCAUUAGACCAAAACCAUAGAUUUGAGCCGUCCGAAGGUUAUGAAAUAGCGAGACUGGUCCUCCGGACUCCCGGACUCAUUCAUUCUCUUCUUCUAUCAAUCUUAUACCAUCGAAAGAAUUACUUCAAGACCCUACCAACUCGGGUGAGUUUAUGAGCACCGCGUAGUGGGAUCCUAUUCAACCACUUCCUCUCCUUCUACACCGCGUAGUCGGUCUCGAAGCUGAACUUCCUCAGUUACCUGCUUGAGUUACGGCUUACGGCCCAAGUAAGCAGCUCUUCUAUCAUUCUCUGUCUCGCUCUUCCACUCUAUCGCUCGAGCUUCCGAUUGCCCUUCCGGGGGUAUUGACUACACCCAAAAUUCUGAGCCUCCUACCAAGGAAGCCACAUCUCAGAUCCGUCUCGAUUGAAUGAAUGGGAUUUUGCUCAUUCUGAAUUGAUCAAAUCACACAUCGCACUAAGCCUGAUCAUUCUGCUUUCGAUAACGAUAUAACUAGGAAGACUAAAUACCAGGGGGGUUACUGGGCAUGCCUGCCAGUUUCAUAGAGCCCAAUCGGGAAGAGGUAAUUUCCACAAGCUCAGAAGGGAAAGAGAAAGAAAGAAUGUCAACUCCUCGCAAAUUCUUUGCGCCUUGUUCAUUGACUUCGUGAGGGAGAAUCUUUAGUAGAAAUGGGUUCAUUCAUGUCGCCACCAUUACCCCAACCUCAAAUCCGAAGGAAGGGAGAAUCUUUCAAAUGGGUUUUCGGGAUUAGGGCAAAUCUGCAAUUUUCAUGAUUUGAACCCCAGGGGAGAUGGAAUGUCGUCAAAUCAGCCCCAAUUGGUACGGAAAUAGAAAAAGUGUACGCCUACGAAGCAUAUGUGUGCACCUCCUUAUCCAAGGCUUGAACCCAGCCUCUGGCUUCUUAUUGCAGACUUUUGAGUCUUUAUUAGAGAAAAGUCAUUUCUAGAUUUGACUAGCCAAAUGGCUUCCCACUGAAUAGGGAAAAACCUAGCCGAUUGACCCUUCAACUUCACAGAUCGCGGUAAGACACUGACUUUUCUCUUGCUUAUUCCUCGACAAAGAGGGAACAAAGGCAAAAUAUGGAUAAAAACAAGUCCUUCGGACGGGUCAAAUCCCUUUCAAUAAAUAAAGAGAGGUAGAGGAAGUGAAAUAGUCUCGACCAGGUGCAGCUCUUUCUUCCGUCGCCGAGGUUCUUGUUCGCGUUGCAGUUGCUCUCACUCUUUUGCUCUUGGUUGAGUAUGCCUCAUCGAUGAUCGGAUCCUCAUUCAGCUAAAAUCAGGGCUGAUUUCUUCAAGUUCGGGAUCCGGAACUGGGACAUCUAAAUCCCUUUUUUUAGAGUUGAGUUACGUACUUACGUAAAAACGAAUAAACCUCAGUCCGAGCACAGCUUCUACAUCCAGCGGACUCUGAUUGAUUAGUCUUUCGGCUAGGGCUUUUCUCUCUCCUGAUAUAACUCCAGCUCCUUCGCUCCUUUCCUCUACUUCGCCCCUAACCCUUUCUUUCUGUAUGGAUUCAAGAGAUCAAGUUUCAGCCAGUUGAAGGAUCAAGAUGAACUACUUGAUUUUAUUCUCACAAAGGAGCAUUGCGGAGGAUAUUAGGCCACUUACCGAUAGAUCGCACCUCUCAACCUCGGACUCGUCCUCAGACACGGAGAAAAGAGAAUGAAAACGAGUUCCUAAAGUGGUUCUUGAUUUCAGAUAAGAAUCUAAUAUGACUUACCUAAAAGAAAGGGGAGAAAAGGCGAGGCGCGAAGCGACUGGAAAGGAUAGAAUAGAAGGCGGAGUAGGGAAGAACUCGACUCCCACGGGGCGGUAUGACGGGCCACAACGAUUUCUUCCUAGUCUUUGAAUCAGAAUUCAGUACACGAGAACUAUGACUUAAGAGAUAUUUGAUCGAACUAGACGACUUGUCCUCGAACCACGGUAUUUUAGAAAGCACUGAGUCCUUGAUUGAGUGAGAGAUUUGUCCAGACCGAUCCUGAGCGCGUGGUCUUCGUGAGAGAUCUUGCCUCUGGCAUCUAUUCUAUUAUUCAUAUCCUAUCUUUCAUAAUGAAUAGAAAGAGAAAGAAAGAGGAUGAGGCAGAAUCAAAAGAAUGAAGGAAGACCACUAGUCCGCUCCUGGUUCGGAGAGUCCUCAAGGCCAAUUUGAGUUGAAAACGAGGACAGCCUAGGGCGCAAACUCAGAUCACAUUCAAUCCGCGGAUGCUCGCCUUCCAGGAUCGGCAUAUGGGGUCAGGAGUCACUCUUGCGAACGCGAGAUCUAAGAGAGAAAGAUCAGAGAAGUUAUGAUUUCAGAUUCCAGGAUUCCGCAAUCUAUAUCCCACUACGCGGUAGAUUUUCUCUUUGCUCCGUCCCCAUUAAGAUCAAAAUGCUUAGUCGAUUUUCCUCACUUUCUCACGAUAAAGGAUGUUUUUAGCCUUGCAUUUUAUUCAUUUUUUCUAAUAAACCGAGGCUCAAAGAAUCCCACGGAGCGGUAGCGGUGCGAAGCAAAAAGUUCUCAGGAGCUCGCCGAAAGAAUUGGAUAUAAUGUCUUCGUCUAUGUCCUAUGGAUCUCCCCGUUCUUGAUUGGAAAUUGGAAAGGGAUAAAAGUGACUGAGGUGCUCAUAUGCCCCAAGAGCUCACAUCGACGGGAAGGGCACCUCGGUCUCGUGUCGGCUUAGUUUGCUCCUUCACCUCUUCCUCCUUCGGAGAUGAGGGUCGUGUCGACUUUUCUGAAUUGAUUCGGGCGAGAUGGAACUCUCUUAUCUUAGUUCCUCGGACCAAGGGAAGAAGGAUUCUCAUUCUCUGAAUGGUCGUAUCCUCGUUUUCAGGGUCCCUUUCUGGGAAAGCAUAUUCAUUCAACUCGGCCCGUAGCGGUCUCAUAGUUAGUACUGAUUCUUGAGAUGGUUCUCCCUUCUACUUCCUUUGGGACUGAUGGGAUCCCUCCAGACAUGGAAGAGAAAGAUCUCAUUCACCGCUCCCGAUCGGGGCCUCUGAUUCUCAUUCUGCACUCAACUGGGACUCGCUUGCCUUCGGCCCUUUCUGCCUAAUCUGGCCCUACUUCUUUAGACUGAGACGAAUAACCUCUUCUGAGACGGAUUCCUAUUCAAAUGAGUUCGCGCGGUCUUCUCUCUCCAUGAGAAUGCUACCUUCUUAAAUGACUGAAUAAGAGGAGACUUUCUAUCCCCCCUCUCCAACUCAGGAGCUCCUAUCUUCAGUGACUCAAGAGAAUUCUUCCCUUUCUAAAUAGAGUAAGGCAGGAGAGACUGAUUCCGCUGUUGGGAUAGCUCCUUUCUUCCUCUCCGCUCCGUGGGGUCCUACGAAGAGAAAGAUCUCAUUCUGCACUCAACUGGGACUCGCUUGCCUUGAAAAGACAUGAAAAGAGAAAAUAGACAUUCAAACCUCAAAAAGAAGGAAUAUCGUAAUAAUAUGCAAAUCUGUCAAACUCCAACUCAGCAGCUCUUUCUCGGGCUUAGCCCCGAACCAAGUCUUCUUUUACGGUCGAGUAAGAAAGCUAACUGAAAGAAGACGAACCCCUAUCAGAGUCCCAUGGAGACAGACCCACGGAGCGGGAAAGAGCACAUUUACUAAUACUAAUGGGCCAUGAAAUAUGAGAAUCACAGGCGGCAAACCCACUCUUUGAUUAAUUAGGCGAGACCACCCAUAGUGCCUUAGAGAGAUCCUUCUCGAUUCAUUGACGAUGAUUCAACCUAUGACAUUCAAACCUCAAAAAGAAGAAAUCUCGUAAUAAUAUAGAAAUCUGUCAAAAUUAUACAAUUAUCGAUUAGGUUUUUUAAGAGGUAGAGGCAUCCGUCCCAGAGUCUCGGUUUCGGAAGUCUAAGAGUAGGAGAGGGGCUAAUAUCGGUAUUCAGCUGCUAUCCGGGCGGUUCCAUUUCUUUUCUAUUCAAAGUUAGCAUGAUCAGUGGAAGAGGUUAUCAGUCACUCCAGACAGGAAAGAACCAGAGGUCAAAAAAGUUCAGACGUUAAGAGGGAGAUCUUUCGAUAGUUUUCCCUGGUUUGGAAUAUUGCUCGGAGGAGUUUGAUUGGAAGUUUCAGCAGAGGCGGAAUGAAAUAUGCGUGAGAAAGAAUAUUGCGAAUGAGAUAGGUGUGAAAGAGGCAGCCCACUACGCUAGAGAGAAGAAGACUUAGAGUUUUAUGAUUCAUUCUUUCUUGUGAAUAAGUUCAAUUGAAAGCUACUUAUUCUCCUCUCCGACUAACUAAUUAAUAGAAAAGAAAGCACUUAGUUUCAAGUUCAAUUUCUCAUUCCCUUCUUUGACAAGAACAUCGAUCAGUCCUCAGGUGAUCGGAGCAUUUAUCUAAGAAAAGAAGAAAGGCGCAAAGAAUAUUGCGAGAACGUGGGCUUUCUUCUUGGAGAAUACGAACCUCUUACUCACUGAUGAGAUCGGCAGGCCUAUUCCUCGGAUCCGGAUCAUUCUUCUUCCUCCUCCCCAACUGGGGCUUUUAGUUACCUUUCAGCGGACUCGGCACCCAGCCUCCGGCUUCUUAUUGCAGACGAAGGUUUUGAUGAUUGUAAAGACUAUUAAAAACAUUAGUAUAAGAUUUCUGGAAUAUGAACUUCAAGUCUCGCAUUUCAUCCUCUUGAACCUGUAUUCCCAGAUCUCCUUUCUUCCGAUUAGACGCGGACACUUCCAUCCCCCCCUAUCUUUUAUGGCGGUGAGGUGAAUGAAUCUCCUAUAGUACUUAGUUGGCACAGAAUCAUAAUCUGUGGAAUCUGAGGCUGUUAUAGAUGGAAAACUUCUUUUAUAUCUCUCAAGAUCUUUUGAUUUGAAGUCGAAAGAGGAAAAUCGGUUUACCACAGCAUCUUGGCCCAAGUACCCAUACUCUCAAGAAUGAGAAUGCACCCAAACCUCUCUUUUCCGCCCCCCCCCCACGGUUUUGAAGUGACUUACUCAACUCUUAAUCACUUGACUCAUAGGUCAAAUCCCCAAUUUCAUUUUGGGCCUAGGUCGCAAUAUUCUUUGCGCCUCGUUGCGCUCCUCUCUAGUCUCGCGCUCUUUGCUUCGCACAUCUGCGUCCUUCUUUUUGUUCUUCGCGCCUCCGGACGACUGAAUCAAUGAAAAGUUCAAGAUUGAACGUAAAUUCAGUGGUUUUUGCUUGUAUUUUCUUUCUAUUUUAUAUAUAUAUAGUUGCUUAUUUAGCCAAAAUAAGACUUCAAUGAAAUGGCUCAAAGAAUUUGAGAAAGGAUUUCUCCUUUUAAGCCUUAUAGGCUAUAAGCCUUGGCAAAGAGAUCUAGAUAUUCAACUCCUUCUCCUGCAACCGGAAGAGCUACAGCAAAGAUGAAAGGGAAAUCUUCAAGAAUAUCCCUGUCUUAUGGCACCUACGCGCGGAUAUUAUUUAUUUCACAGCUUUUUUUCGGAAUAAUACUUUUUUUGAGCCCGCAAAUUCUUUGCGCCUUUCUCCGCUUCAAAUCUUAAGGGCGAAGCCACCGAUCCGCUACGCUUCCGGUGUCCGCUCCGCUGGAAAGCUGGAAAACAAAGGUGCAAAGAAUAUUGCGUUCUCGAUCCUGAACUUCUUUAUGGAAAGGUAGAAAACUCCGAGAUAAUUCUUUGAUCCUCUCACAAUAUCCCUGUCUUAUGGAACCGCUCCGUGGGUCCAAUAACAUCGAUCAUUAAUAGUAGCUUCGCCUAACCUCUGCGGUCAGUCCUUCGGACCAGGUGAGUCAGAAACAUUCACUUUAGGUCCGUUUUAGAGUCCUUCUUCUUCUUUCUGGGAGUCCGGAGGACUGGAUCUUGUUUGAGAAUCAAAGAAGAAUUCACUCAUUAACUCGAAUUCAAGAAUAAUUCAGAUUUCAUAACCUUGUUUUUACGGAGGGAAAUACAUGAUUUUGCUAGGUUUUGCCCAUAGGGAAGUAGCAAGAAAUCAAGUCAAAUGCCUUCUUUUUCACUCAAUUAUCGUUAAAUAUCAAUAUGAGAAAAAGUCCUAUUUAGAAGCAAAAAAGCCGGGAAAUAGCAAGGCAUUGUCCUAUUUGAUUUUCGAAAUUCACAUAGUUUGAUUCUUGUUUGAGUUUAUGGUCCGGAUACUGACAGGUCUAUUCUUGCCUUCUAAUGGAUAGUCCUACGGAUAAAUCCUGCGGACGUAGGACUCCGGACUACGGACUUUCCGUAAUUAACCGAACUUUGCGCCUCAAAUUCUUUGAGGAAUGAAUGAGAAAGCGGAAAAUUUUCUGACUCAUCUGGACUAAAAAGGAGUCUUAUUCCAUAAAUAAAGGGGUCUUGUAGGCGGUCGAUGACUUGAAAUGAAAAAUCAGUCAAAAAAGGACUAUUCUCGUUACAAAGUCUCUAAACUAAGAUUUUGCAAGCUCAAUAUUCUUAUUCUUUGAGCCUUGAUUUGAGCAAAGUUUUCAAGGUCUUUCCUUUCGGUUCUCGUCUGAAGUGCAUUCUGAGAAAGAUCAAGCAAAGGAUCACUCAUUUUCCCGCGGUAGAAAGAGGAGGCAGAAGCCAAUAAAGAGGCCGUCCCCACCAUAAGGCAUUGGAUGACGAAGGAGACAUAGGAAAAGCCCACGUAGCGGGGGCACCAAUAGAAGUCAAAAGAAGAGAGCUAAAGUCAGCGAAUAAGAGAAGAGCGUCAGCGGAAGCUAAAGGUUCACGCUCGACCCUUGCAUUGAGUAUAAAGAAAACGUAGCGGUUUGAGACCGGGUUCAGGAUUCUUCCUUCUCAGAGGUAGGUUGCAGGAGAUUUUGGCUGCUAUCUCUAUCCCCAAGGGAAGGCUGAAUUCAUAUUCGUUUCACUCACAAAAGAGAAAAUGGGUUUCAGGCUGAUUUGAUUCCCCACUACCAUGAGUGAGUUCGAGCUCCUUGCUUCUAGAGUACGGUCGGGGAGGAAUAGAGGUAGGACUUAUUAGCAAGGUAAGAUAAAGCAAUCAAGGGCCAUAUCUCCAGCAUCUUUCUCCCGUUCUGGGGACCGAGGACUGAUCUCUUGCUGCCUCCUUUUGCUUCUUUUCAUCCCAAAAUUCAGAAUGAAAGAGGGUUUGACUCCAAACUCUUCAAAGAGAUCUUCUCCAAUCUCAGAGUUCUUUCAUGAAUAGAGCGCUUCAAUUUUUUGAAUGCCCUACUUUUGCUUUCAGCCUUUUUCCCCGGUUUGACUUGCAGGGAAAUCAUCCAAAGGGGUUGAAGGACUUCGCAAUAUUCUUUGCGCCUCUCGACUGCGAAAUCAUUUUUGAUUCAGAUGCUCUUCUCCUUCUAAUAAGUAGUAAUUCAAGCUCUUCUUCUCUUCUUCAUUCAAAGAAAGUAGAGGUUUUCUUCACUGUACAAAUAGUAAAGGAAAAGAAUGCGCGGACUAAGCUUCAACGGAGUUCACUUCCGAAACCGGGUACGUACGGGUGUCUGACCUUUAGCCUUUUGAAGCCGGUCAAAUCCCCAUUUCAUUGAAAAAGGCUUCUUUUCCCACGGACGGAUCUUUCUUAUUCCCCCGAGCAGAAGCAACCUACGUCAGCGACUGGCACACAAUUCUGAAGCAAGAAGGACUGAAAGGGAUGCCGCCUCUCUCUCCUUAAAGACGAGCCCCUUUCGCCUCAGACUUUGGAUUAAGGAGCUAGAACUACUGCUGGCGUCAAUAUUCUUUGAACCUGUCCCUGGUCGACGAGUCUUUCCUCUUUCUUCUACAAGAGUAGGAGUUCUCUUCUUCGGCAACGGAUAAUCAAAGCCUUCCAAGGGCUAUAACCGAUAGUUCUCGCUUGAGGCUAGUUCUUUUCCUUACUCAUGGAGUGACUGACUCAACUCCUGGAACAAACUAAGGAAAAAUUCUCAUUCAAGCCUUAUUAAGACAAUUACUGAAUAAGAUACGGCUACUAGGUAACUACUAAUCCGACCGACCCGCAGCACCCAACUCUUCCUCAGCUCCCUUUUCUGCCUAAGCAGGUAGGGAUUAUGCCCUUCUGACUUCUCCGGCGAAAGAGAAGAGAUGAGAGUUUGCAUGUCAAAAUCAGCCUGGAAUCCAGAAAGUCAAAUCACUUGAUUUUAUUCUCAGAGCAUUGCUACUAGGAAAUGUGGAUGGAGUGGAUGGAUAGGAAAUAGAGUGAAUUAGGCCAAUGAACUCCUCUCCUUUCAGUCGAGCCAAGGCAUCCUUAUCUUGGUAGGCUUUCCUGACUUCACUUUCUUCUCUUAUGUUCUCAUUCCACUAAAUCUUGAUUUUCAUCAAAUCAAAAAGUUCUUUCAGCUGAAGUUGCGUAGUUUAGUUAUGUGCUCUUUCAUUCCUUAUUCAUGCAUUGCGCGAGGCUUCAAACUCUUUAUCCUUUUAUUGUAAUAUCCCACGGAGCGGUAGCUGGCUCAUCAAGAUUAUCUCUUCCUGCAGAGGUUCCUGGGCAAAGAGAAUAAGAAGUCGUUCCCGGCCGGAGAAACCCUUACGCGGAGGGUAGGGUCGGUUGACGAAGAAGGAAGAAAGAAAUAGGAAUUCGAAGAAAUCAAAUCCGCAAUAUUCUUUGCACCUUUCCUCAAAUUCUUUGAGCCUGUUCAUGGAAGAAGAAAGAAAGCCGAGGCUGGAUAUAAUAGAAACUGAAAAUUCUUUGCUCAUCGACAUUCCCUAAUGGAUAGUCCUUCGGACCUGUCUUAUGGAGCCUGUGGUCCUUCGGACUGAUGAUCGAUCGAUCUUAUUGGCUGGAGAAGGAGGAGGUCUGGCCGAGGAAGUAGGUGUAGCAGAAGUAGCUUAGUUUAAUAGUGGCUCGACUUGCUUUUCUUCUUGCGAAGCUAUUAGAAAGCCAUUAUUUAGAAUUCAUCCUCUUAUUCUAAAAUCAAGACGAAAGCCUAUCUUUCAGAAUCUUCAAGCAGAAGAAGUCCCAAAAGAGAAGUUGAGUCUGAGUCCGUAGUUCCAUUAUAUUAUCAUAGGAAUGAGAAUGAAUGAUCUCUUUCCGUCAGUCUGUCUCCAGAAGAAUGGGACUAGCCUAAAGCGAGAACUAUUCCCUAGUCAUUUUGAUAUGGAGAAAGAACAUAUUUUGAAAGAAGACAAGAAGAAGUAACCUACUUAAAGGAAUAGAAAGCCUUGAACAUGAGUUACCCACUACGCGGUAGAUUUCAGAGUCCAAGAACAAGAGAAAGUAUCUCCAGGCGCCAUAAGACAGGUCCGAAGGACUAUCCAUUAGGGGAUUGAUGCCAGAGAAGAUUAAGGAUGCCUUGGUAAAUCAGUCACAGUUGAAGAAGCUAGAUCGGCGACCAAAGGGAUCUACGCAAAGCAGCUUCCCCUUCUUUCUUUAGCAUAAAAGGAUAUGGUAUAAUUCAUUAGUCGGGGAAUUCUCAUAGGAAUGAGUUCCAGAAAUAGGAAUAUUUGGUGUGAUAGGAUCGACUGUAAAGGUAUGAAGUAGCGAUAGGGAAGGAGGUUCAAAGAAUAUUGACCUGUUUCAUGAGUCACUUCAAGAGUCCGAAGAAGAGAUAGAAAGGGGCGAAGGCACUCAAGUCUUCUUACGAGAGGGAAAAAAAAGACAGAGAGAGAGGCUGUUGAAUGAGAUCUCUUUCUCUAGUUGGAUAGGUCUUUUCUACCCUCAAGUGCGAACUCUGAUGAUUAGGGUCUUUCUUUAACCGAAGAAAGAGGAAUGAGAUUGUUGGGAAGCUAGAUUAUAGACCAGCGAGAGAAUGAAGGAAGAAAGGUCAGACUCCCACGGGGCGGAGAGGCAUCCAUGCUCCAGUUUCAGGAUGCAGCCCUUCGAUCAGAAGUUUCCGCUAUCUCUUUGGCCCUCAUAGGAAUCGAGGAAAGAAGGAUGAAUUCUUCGCAAUAUUCUUUGCACCUUUCACUCCUUUGUGACUCGAUUUGACUCUUUUCUUUUAGAAUAGCGAAUAGUCAAUUCAUUCAAGGCAUAUUUCAUUGCGCCUAGAAAAGUGGCUUUUUGAAUAUUAUAAGAGGACUAUCCAAAAAUAGGAAGGAGUCAGUAUUAAAACGCGAACUUUCAGUCGCUUCGAUAAUUCUUUGAGCGUCGCAUAAAAAUUCAAAUGGUACGAUCUGAAACUGAAACCGCAAGGUCAUACAGCCGACCCACCCGAACCUCUUCUCUCUUCCAAGUCAACCUACACAAUAUCCCCCUUUUUCAUCCCUCCGCCUCUCGUCUAUUCCCCUAGGCUUUCCCCUAUGACUAUCCUUCUUUCGACCAGAUCUAGUCAACUCUAGCUUUCCACACUCCUCUUUAUAGGUUAGACCCAAGACUAAGAGCAACUGAGAAUGCUACAAUUCUCUCUCCCAGUAGGUCAACGGUCUCCUUUCUUGCACUUUUCUAUCUCGUUCUCAAUGCACUCAGUCUUCUUCCUUCUAACUUGACUCCUCUCUCUCUCCCGCUCCGUGGGCUUCCGCAGACUCUACAACCCUUUCUUAUGGAAGCCUUACCGCUAACCCGCUCUCUCGUUAGGGUAUGGAAUCGCCCGGACUAGUUAUUAUUUAUGCUUGACUCCACAUGAGAAUUCUUGACUUUUCUCCUUCCCCUGGGAUUGGAAUGAGCUCGCUCUACAUCCGAGUGGAUUAAGCAGAGGAAGUUGAAGUUGCCGUCUGAAUAUAGGGCUUUUCUUCGUUUGAUUGAGAAAUGUAGAAAGAAAGUCGAUCGUCACACCCCUCCUAAACCUAAAAUAAAGACGAAAGUACUUAACUUAUGGCUCGACUGAAAGGAGAGGAGCUAAGGCCUGAAGAAUAUACUGAACUGAGGCUAUGGCAAUGGAACUGACGCAAGUAGAAGACACCAGGCCAGGCUUCAGGCCCUGACAUCGAUCAAAGCUCACCAGCUGAGAGUUGCUCGAUCUUACAACCACGGAUUGGGCGUACAAGCCUUUCAAUCUAUUCAUUCAUCCAUUUCUUCUGGUGGAAAGAUCCUUUGUUCACAUCCAUAAGUUUGUAGGGGCAAAGCUUGACGGAGAUUGCUUCCUCCCUCUAAGCUCAAGCAGGAGCGAAAGCGGCUCGACUGUAAGGCGCAAAGAAUAUUGCGUUGAUGAGGCUCGCCGACGAGAUUUUUUAGAGGGAGAGGCGCAAAGAAUAUUGCGUCGCCAGCUAUCACCUUUUUUCUCGACCCAUGCUUUUUGGACUUUCGGUCAAUUUAAGAUAAGAGUCUGUAAAUAGGUCCAGCUCAUUGGGUCCCAAGAAGGAGUGGGGAAGGACGAUCUGUGGAGCGCUGAGAGUUCCGGGUUUGUCUCCUGUAGUUCUGGGCUUAUCAUCACACCAGUAAGAAGAGGUCGGCAGGUCCGAGAGUUCUUCCUCCCCAACCUUUCUACGAAGGGACGAAAUGAACUGUCCCUUCCAGAAGUCUUUCUGCUGUGCCUCCCCUUUGCACUUCUUUUUCCGGUAUAGCAGGCAGCUUUUCCGGCUCACCUAGCAGCAUGCUCACCCACCACCCAUAGGCAUCAAAUCCUCGUUCAAUGAGAAGAACUAUCUAUUAUAAAUAGUGGUUUUCCCUAUAAUAAAUACUGUGAAAAGAAGAUUUCCGCUUUAUUUGAAGAGUGGACAAAGAAGGAAAAUUCAGCGAUCUACUUCCUAUUCUAUGUGCAGUAGCUCUAAGAAUGGAAAGCCUUCCCCACUCCGCGGUGAACUCCCAAUGGCUGCAAAUAGCGAAAUUAGAGUAGCACUGCCCGUAUUCCAGUGCUUUUUUUCAGAAAGUAGAUUGCUGCUGCUCGUAUAGAAGUUAGGGGACCUCACAUCUGCUUACCGCUACGUGGGCUUUCUCAUAAAAGAAAGUAGCAAUAAGAAUAGUCCUACCAUCUAUGCUUUGAAGGAAAAUCGAAUAUAUAAUUGAUACUAGUUUGAACUGGAAAAUUGACUGCCUUCUUGCUUUGACUUUUCCGCCCUAGCUAUUACUAUGAAAUUUUCAGGGAAAGUUUCGCUUCGCAAAUUCUUUGCUCCUUGCUUUUCUUCGGCUUGAUCAACUGAAACUGGCCUAGAACGGAGGUUACCAUACUUUUCUUUCCAGGCCGAGUCAUUCUGACUGUAAACUUAUCUUAUUGGGUGCGAGUCUAUGCUCUUUGGUUUUGGGUGGGGAGAAUUGAUUGAUCCCCUAUCUCUCUCCCUUGUCUACAGAAUUACUACCAUCCGAAUCCUUGCCAUCCACCAUGGUCUCAAGAGAUUUUCGACUUCGUUUUAUCUCAACUCAUCUGGAGCUUGAUUUUUCCACUACUUCUUAUUCCAGGCGAUGUGGAUGCGGACGAGCCCCUUGAUGCCCACGUAGCGGUCGGGGCAGACCCCUCAAUCCAUACCGUGUAGUGGGGGGGGAUUCCUGGUGGAGUUCUUGCGUAAAGAGCUCGAUUCCUUCAUCAUUCUUUUACGGGUAUGCAUGGGCCAUUGGAGUGGUCUCUUCUUCCAUGGAUGAGAGCUUGGUCUAGUUCAUUGGUAUUGUGCUAGGGCGCUAUCUCGAAAGAAGAUGGACCAGUCAAAGCCAUGUUCAGGCGAGGGGAUGACCUUCGCUUUGGGCGCCUGUAGAAGUGCUAUGAUUUGCUUGGGUCUCUUAGAUUAUAGACCCGGAAUACUAAGCUAUGAGGCUUGGUUAGAGGGAUCGAUGGCUGGUCCUUUUUCCUUGGGAUGGGCAAAGCCUUAUUUGGCUCCUUCUUUCCGGCAAAGCCUCAUUUGAAAUAGAAUGAGAGGACAGAGACAACUAUCGAGGGUUCGUCCUACUCGGCCAGAGCAGGAAAAAACCUAGCAAAGGCUGAAAUCUAAGAAGAAUUUUGGGCCUAUUCCAAUCACUUCUACAGCAUAUAAUCUGAAUAUCCUUGCCCGCCGGAUAAGACUAGUCUGACUCACUCACUGGGAACUAGGACUGCAAGAAGGCCUUAGUCCAGAGGUUAGAAAGCGUCUUGGUAUCGACAGAGAAGAGAAAGUUGGGAAAGCGAAAGAUAGAAAGGCGCAAAGAAUUUGCGAAAGGAGACAAUAUCCCUGUCUUAUGGAGCCUCCAGGACGUCGUCUGGACCCUUAUUUACUGAGCUGGUUGAAUUUCUUCUUAUUUAUGCAAUGGACGAAUACGACUUCUCUCUUUAGUUAUGAAACGUCUUAUCUCUAGCUUUUUGAUAGUCCCAUUCAGUCUCUCAUCAAAGAAUGAGGGACUAACUCCGCGCCCAAGCACCUGAUCCAACCCUAGUCCUCCCCACUUCACUUGAGGGGGAAAGAGAAAAGGCUUGAUCCUCGUGCCUCUGAAGCCUAACUCCUCUUCCCGUAGGUCUUUCCUAACUCCUCUCUUUAUUACGAGAUAUUUCCAUUCUUCUUUCGACAGUUAAUGGACCGAGCCUAACCUCUUUAGUAGUCGAGCUACUGCAUUCCGAAACCUUUCUUCUCGUUCUUCAUCCUAUAAUUCUGAGUUCUGGAGCUAACCUCUCCUUCGUGGAGCGGCUUCUACAUGGGUCGUUCUACUUUUCCGCUGAAAAAUAAUGGAUUCGCAACUCAUAUUACAUUGAGCCUUCGGACGAGUCAACUCUUUCUCUUGCUUGCCUUAGAGCAGAAGCAUCAAUUGGCUAAUUGGCUUCCAACUGAGGGUGAGACUGGUCCUCCGGACUUGUGAAUAAAGGGUGAAAAGAAGAUUGAAGAAGAACAAAGGGUGCGAAGAUGCUUUACCUACAGGGAGAGGAUCGGGUUGGCUCCCACUACGCGGUUGGAAAGGGAAGUCUCAGUUGGUUCCCACAGAAAUUGACGGCUUCAAACUUCUGACACCGUUCAGCUCGUAAAGUAGUUUACUUAGUUUCGGGAUCGGCCUAAGCACCUUAACACAUGACGGACCCGAUCACUAACAAAGAAAGAAGAAUGAAUAUCGUCAUAUUAGUGAAAAGAACUCUCUCAUCACGCAGAAAGAAAGACAAGGCGCAAUGAAAUAUGCGAAGGACGGAGUUUCAGAUAUAUUGAAAGAAAGGAUGGAAGAUCACCUACUUAACUUAAAGGAAGAAAAUUAGAAGCCAAGCUUGAACGUAAAAUAAAGCUCCAGAUGAGUUGACGAACCUACUAUUUGAUUUGGAAGAAGACUCUCGAAAGAUCAAGCCUAGCGAAGCGUGAACAAAAAAAGCUUUACUAGAGAAGAAAAGGCUAGAAGCGAAGCGCAUUUAUCAGACCUUAAUAAGCGAGUCAUGAUCCCUUUAAAGCUUAAAAGUGACUUCUCAAAACCCACGUAGCGGUGAGGACCAGUUUUCCACUAUACUCACCAAAGGGGGCGAAGGAAAGGGUAGGACGAAGAGGAAGUUUCAUCAUUCCCUUUCUGCUCUUUCCAGGAUAAGUUUCAGUCUCCCGAGGUCUUGUAAGAAAGCCUUCGAUGUCGAUUUGACUCUUGGGAUGAUUCCACGCGAUCGGAUAGUCAAAUACCUGCAUGGGGGAAGAAUGAUACGAUACAUAGGAUCGGUUCGGGUAGACGAGGUAAGACGUCAAUGAAGCUGAAAUCGACGAAAGGGAAAGAAAAAUAUCCAUCGAAAGAGAGGCCUCACGAACGCGGAUCGGGUAUCAGGUCGGCCCGAAUCAGUCUUUUCUCCUCGUGGAGAAGGCUCCAUAAGACAUAAAGUGGAAGGACUCGAAAAUUCAGUCUCAGUCGCGGAGGGCAGCUAGGUAGGCGGCGCCCGUCAGAUCUGAAUCUGACCAGAGGGGAGACAGGUUUCUUCCCCUGUGAGAGACCAGUUUCAUCCGUUGAUAGGUCGUGCAGUUGCUGUGCUUUAAUAAGUAGCAGUGUCCGCCCUUGAAGAAUGCAGAAGGCGGGGUCUUUCUAUGCUCGCCCUAUUUAUUACCCGUACCCUAGUUCUUUCUGAAAAAGAACUGAAGAAGGCCGCCCACCAUCAAAAUAGGUGGGAUCACUAAACUGAUCAUCUGGUCCCCGUAGUUAGGCGCAAAGAACCAAAAACAAGGGGCCAGGUGACUUCUUAAUUCCCUAAAAAGCAGGAUUGAGACUCUUGGAUUUUGUCGGGACUGACGGGGCUCGAACCCGCAGCUUCCGCCUUGACAGGGCGGUGCUCUGACCAAUUGAACUACAAUCCCAAGGUGUACAGCAUAGGAUUUCCUUGCCUCAUCAAAGGCUGAUGGAUUUACGGAUCUCAAUCCGAGACGGGCGAUCACAUGAUGAAUGAGGAUCUUUCCCUCUUUCACUGAAAAAGCAUAAGGCAGACCGAGCACAAUUGAAAAGCGCGGUCAGUCUAUUCCGCCUCAACCUACGGCAACCUACGGCGGCCUACUUAAAUAAAGGAAGACCUACUUAAAGGAUUUCAUGGAAAGAAUCAGACUACUCUAGAAUAAUGCGUAGGACGAGUCUUAUUCCACUAUCCGAAGGAGUCCAGUUAAGCUUGGCUUCGCAUACGUCGUCUUGACCUUUAGAGUCACCAUCAAUAUCCGAAGUUGCAGGAUCAAAGAAUAUUGAGAAGAAAAAGGGGUAUUCUUUCCACUAAAAAACUGAUUAAUGGAACUACCUCCGGUCUGAGCAAUAUUCUUUGCGCCGGAGUCCGGAGGACCAUCAAAGAAAGGUCCAGGGGCCGCAGUCCGCAGUCCGCAGGAUUUAUCCGUAGUCCGGAGUCCUACGUCCGCAGGAUUUAUCCGUAGGACCAUCCGUAAUUAACCGAAGUAGGACCAUCCAUAUGGAAGGAAGGAGGACUAUCCAUCCAUAUUAACCUUUGGUCCAGGCGCAGGCGCAAAGAAAGAAGCUCAUUAACGAGAAUUCAAGAAGAAUUCUGAUUGAAUAACCUGGAGGGAAAUCAAGAAUAGACCCGUCAGUAUCCGGACCAUAAACUCAAACUAGAAGUCUGAAUUUCUUUUCCCUGUCCUAGGAGUUCUUCUUUCAUUGCGUUUUCCCGGCUUUUUUGCUUCUAAAUAGGACUUUUUCGAAGAUUGAUAUUUAACGAUAAUUGUCUAAAAAUGACUGAUUUUUUGUCUUUUCUUGCUACUUUAUAGGCCCAAAACCUAGCAUUUCCCUCCGCGGAUUCAUCUGAAAUCUAGCAGAUUCUUUUUGUUUUUAGCUUCUUUCAUUAUCGUUAAUGAACGGAUUUUCUUUGAUUGACUUUGAACAGGCUCAAUGCAAUUUGAGCUUUCACCGCUACGCUACGCUUCCGCUCCUCCGAAAGAAAGGAUAGGAUAAAUAGAAAGUAGUUGACGGCGGUUUCCGCUCCUCGCAAUAUUCUUUGCGCCGUAGUUAGGAGUAUUAGGAACCGAAGGACUAUCCAACAAUAUCCCUGUUGUUUUCUCGCCUGCGCCUGGACCAAAGGUUAAUAUGGAUAGUCCUACGGACGGAUAAAUCAAUUCUAAUAAAGGAUCAAGAAAGUCUUUAGUUUCAGGCUGUCCGCUACGCUUCCGCUCCUUAUUCAAGUUCCAGGCAAUAUUCUUUGCACCUAUUAGCCGUUUUUAGGUUUGGAGAAAGCCUAUCGUAGGGUUCUGAGAAAUCUUUGAGAAAGUGCUGUUGAGAAAGAAAGGUGAGACUGGAAAGUCUCGGAAGUAGCAGGUGAGGAAGACAGGCUCUCACCAGUUGUAGAUGGAUAGGAAAGCGCUUCAAAGGAAGAAAUGCGAGUAAGGAAAAGCUAUUAUUGACAGAGUCAUAUGCUAACCAAUUUCAAGGAAGAAAGAGAAAGAAAGCCUCAUCGGCGAGACCGAGUUUCCAUAGCUCGAAGGAUGAGCUAUAAUAUAAUAGGGCGAAUACGGCCAAUGAGUCGGUGCGUGCGAAGAGAGUUGGAGUCAGAGUCUGCUCUUCGGAUGCUGAAUCCGUACCUGUAGCUGCCCACGGAGCGGCAUAAAUCCGUAAAUUCAUAGCCCCCGGGAGCGGUUGAAGGAUUUCUUUCUUCCGCGGAGUGGGCUUCGACCGGAUCCGGGAAUAUGCUCGACGACAGGGCUAGUAGGCCGACAUAUCUCUGAUUAGUAAAGAAGCGAGAAGCUCCUAUUCCCCCAAGGCCAGCAAUUUCAAAGGAUUCAUCACAUUCCCAUCUCAUAGGAUUUGCCCUGAAAUCACUCCGGAAACCCAUGAUGCAGGUCGAAGGAGACUUACCCAGGGCGAGGUCCAGCCCUUCAUGAAAGGCCUAGAUUCACAGUGGCUUAUUAUAGAUCGUCAGAUCAUCAGGCUAAAAGAAAUUUGCCUUCAUUCUUUGGGAUUUAGCAAUACGUCUUUGUUAGAAUAAAAGACGGUUUCAAGCCUUUCCCACUCCAGUGAGAAGAACCCUUAUUUGACGACCGGACACCUCUACUCACAGGAAAGUUGAAAUAAGGUAGUUCAUUCAAUAAUCAGACUCGCGGAUUAGAAGCCCGAGCCCUAUCCAUUAAUUUGGCGGUUUUGCUUUCGCCUAUUUUUUGGUCUCAUUGAGAAGGACAUAUGACGGAGGCAUCAAAAUUCCAUUCUUCCGCUCCCUAUUUUUUUAUGGAUGUCAUUGAAGUCCGGAGGACUAUCCAUUAUCAGGGCUGACUUUGCACCGCGUAGUGGGGCUUCGAUAAUUCUUUGUCAAUAUUCUUUUCACCUCCGACGGAGCAAAGUUCAUUGAGAGAAGUCCGGAGGACUAUCCAUAUUCACGUCCGAAGGACUCCUUUCAGUGCACCUUCGCAAUAUUCUUUGCGCCUCCUACGCUAUAUACUCCGAAGGACGUCCUCUGGGUCGAAUUCUAUUUGGUGUCCAUUGAAUUUCUGGAAAUAAGGCUCAAAGGAUAUUGAGAUGAGAUUCCUUCUUUUUAGCCUAGGCUUUUCACGAGCAAUCCUGGGAUUUGAUCCCACCAGUCAAAUUCCCUCGCCUUGGAAAGAGAACAUAUUUCCCCUACCCGAUCGACCCGAGUCUGAUUUUACAUAGAAUGAAAGAUAAGAUACUGACGGAGGACUCCUGCCGAUUUUCUCAUUUCUCUUGGGAAUUCCAGUACUGAUUCAACCGUCUAACCUAGCUAGAUCUGAUUCAAUCUUCUAAGCUAAAAAGAGAAUUCCUCCCCUACCCCCUUGCUAUAAACUCUUGCAUUCUGAUGUCUGAACCACCAGUCACGAAUUUCAUGAAGGAUCCGAUGGAUGACUGAUCCGCGGGGGACCGUGGAGUGGGCAUCGAAUGCCCUUCUCUCUCCUUGAUGACUCUCGUGGGAGGGGGGAGGCAGAGGGCAGUGGGAUUCAAUCUCUUGAGGAAGUGGUGGCCCGUCCUUGCUGGAAUACUAUAGCUUUGAUUCUUGAAAAGCAAUUCUUUUCCAUAUUUCUUGAAUGAUUAUAAUGGAAGGGAUUCACUAGCCUCACGCUUUUCUAAUCAAUCCUAUAAUUCAGUAUGGGACAAAGGCCCCAGGUGAGACCUGCAUGAAGAAGGAUGAUCGGGGAAAGGGAGCGAAGCGCCCAAUUCAAGGUAUGGAGUUGGAUCGGGAAGGUGCACAAUGGGUGCCCUUUGCUAUCACUAUUGAGAGAGCGAAAUACCGACCCGAGUCAAUCCUCUAUAUUGGCAAGACCAAUUAAUUGGGCAUUUACGAAGAAAGAGAAGGCGUGAGGAAUAGGAAGAAAAAGAAGAGUGAGAAGAAAGGAAAUUGUAGAAGUUGAGAUCAGAAAGGAGAGGUAAAGGACGAAGGAGAGGAGUGGAACUGCUCGACUGUAAGGAGAGGAGAGAGGCGAGAGUGUCUUUACGAGAAAGAGGAAGAAAGGCUGAAUGAAUUGAGAAGAGGUGCAAUUCAAUAUGCGUGAGAAUUCUCCCACGUAGAAAAUCAAGGCCGCAUAUUUCAUUGCACCUCUUCCUUCUUAUUAUCUUUUUUCAGAGGGAGAGAGAUGAGCUCUACAGAUGUGAAGUAAGGAUAGGAAUAGGACACAGCAAGAAAAUACGAGGAGGGGGCGUGGUCAGGCCACUAUAAGGAGAGGUUCGAUUCGAGAUGGGAGCUUCUCCUUUUCUCAUUGUUUACGAAGAAAGAUGGCAAUAUGCGCCGGAGUUAGGAGUGAUAAGGCUCUUUGAAUGAUCGGCGUAGUCUUUUUCUUUCCAUUGAAUCUGAAUCAGGUUUUCGCCUCCUCGCACGAUCGAGACUGAGUUCCCUAGACAAGGAGGCUAACCUCAAGAUCGUGAACUCGGGUCCUACCGAUAGAAAAGAGAUCCCUUGAACAUAGUCUACUUUCUUCGGGAAAGACCUUUCUUCUCGCAGGUCAAGCUCAAUGAAUGGGACGCGAAGGGAGAGUUGAUCUGUGCCCCCCCUGGUAAACUUCUAUAUCGCUCGUAUGGAGUCAGGCUGAAUUCGAUCUCCCAGCGCUUUGGUCAGAGUGGAAGAGCGAGGAAAGGCUCCACCGGUUAGUGAGAUCUUUCUCAUUCUAAGCUCGGAAUCAGUCACACGGGUGCUCCGCCGAUUAGGAUAGAAUAUCCUGAGUGCAACCGCCAAGAUCAAUCCUUCCGGCUAGGGCGAGAAGAUAUGGGAUUUGUAUGCCCUCUAUUAGCAAGACCGAUUUACCGACUUCCCCGUGAAAAGCAAAGGACAACCUCGACUUCUCAUUCCCUUGAUGUAGGCCCUAAUAUAAGCGGUUCGUAAACAGACCUCAGCGGAUCCCGUAAGUUUUUCUUUGAAGUGAUAGAGUACAGGGUGGAAGCCAGAAGUCAAAUCACUGAUUGUAAGAAAAAGCUCUUUACCCUAAUGAACUAGAUCAGCCUAUCUUUGUCCGUAUCAAAGGUAGCUUAUGAUGGGGUUAUUAGUGAAGCUAAAGAUGAGGCAAGAGAUGACGCAGCCUCCGCAGGAAGAACUACGAAAACGAAAUUCCGCUGGAAGAAGAAAAGCGAGGGCUGGCUACUUCGAUCUCCCUCUUUUCCCACGGGGCGGUAGGUAAAGCUUCUGAUCUCAACUCCUAGAACUCCGUCUCCUUCCUUCUAUCCUAGCUGGUCCUUCUCUCUUUGUACUAAAUAGUUCUUUCUUUAGUCUUUGGCAUGCCCUUGUUCAUUGACUUGUCGAGCUAUGAAAUUCCGCGGUAGGUUCGUCGCUUAGCACCCUAUUCAUUGAAUCUAUAAGAUUCUAUUCUUAAUGGAUAUGAUUCGGCAAAGAAGACCACUGAGUCCCAGUCUUUAUCCUGAUUUUGAGAGUCAAAAACGUGGAAGUACAUAAUUCUUCGCCUUACGCUGGUAUUUCUGAAUUUCAUCUUUAGGCUUUCUUCUACACAGAACCAAGACUUCCUCGAUCAUUCUUUGAGCCUCCGCAUCCAUAAUAUCGGCAGCUGAUGACUCAAGUCUUAUGAAAUGAAGAAGAUCGACUGAUUAAGGAUACGGGAAACUUCUCUCUUUCUCUCCGGCCCUACUUUCGUCUUCUUCUUGCUUCGACCCCUCCUCUCAAAUAUGAUGAAUAGUCCAAAAAUCAAGGUCCAGAUUCAAAGAAAAAUAGCAUUUUACCACUCAAGAUUCCAUAUUAAGAAGAUAAUGUGAAUAGAGAUUCAUACAUCUACAACUCGGUCCUGCCUUGACUGGGCCAAAGAUUUUCUUGAAUUACCUUUAUGAAUGAAUGAAAGAGAAAGAGAUGAAAGAAGCCUUAAUUAACCGAGCCCUCCUCUCCCUUUCAAAUCGCAGAAUAGACUUGGGAGCGAGUAUAGCCCUUCGCGCUUUCGGUGGCGUCUGAGAUAGCUUCAUCGGCAACUUCUCUCUUCCCCACUGCUUUCUCGGUCGAGUUUGUACGAGCUGGUAUUCUCAGCUCUUCGAGAAUCUACCGCCUCAAUGAGUGAAAAGAAUAUUGACAGGCAAAGAAAGACUUUUCAGUCUAAGGAGAAUAGGAAGAAGUACGAUAAGCAUCCGUGAUCCGUUGUGCCAUUGAAUCAGAGGUAAUUGAAUGAUAAAUAGCGUGAUUGAUUGGUCUUGAGCUGCUUUCCGAAGCUAGGGUCAGAAAAGCUAGAACUGCGAAGAAGAAAGCAUUAUGUUCAUCUGGACUCGUCCGAAGGUUCAAAGAAGAUUUCCAAGACUUCCAGGAUAGAAGCAGCUCGACUAAGAAGGAUCAAUGAAAGUAAUAUGAGAAAGGAUGGAUGAAUACUCUUUUUUUCCUUUGAAAAGCAGACGUUAGGAAGGGCGCUCAUGAUUCCGAAAAAGACUGAUUUGAUUGCGCAGCUGCUUAAAUUCAAAAAGGACCAGCUUAAUAGAACCUUGUUCAUUGAUUGCCUAGCUUCUUAGUUCAGUUACUCGGAAGACAUGGAAGACAUCCAGACUAAGAAGGAUGUCCCAAGAGGGGAAGAACUCUGAUAGAAGAUCAGUUGCGUGGCUAUUCCCAGAAUCGGGGAGAAGAAGAAGAAAGAUAGAAAAAGCAAGAACUACCGAUAUGAGGAGUUCUUUACUUACGCUAUUUCUUCAUCAAAGAUUCUUCGUUCUUUUCGAGUUAAUGAAUUGAGAAUGAAAGAGAGGCUCCUUCUUCUUCUUUUCACUCAUGAAAAACUUCUGCAUCCGCAACUCGUAAACAUAGAAUGAAAGAUCGAAAGAAGACUGAUUUAUCUGAUUCCGUAGCAUCGGGAACUGAGUCAACUCGGUCUCUUACCAUUUCUCAUUCCCCUUCUCCUCUCUCUAGGUUGUAUGAUAGGCUCUCCCUCUCCUUCUCAUUCGGAUGGAUUCCUCGUAUUCGUCCCUUGGGUGGGCCUAGCCUUCUUCAUGCAUUGGGAAUCGGUUGCAGUGGGCAGAGUCAGCUAGAUAAGGAUUGAGUGGGUCGGAACCCUUGCACGAAGCUCUCCCGGUCGGCAGCUAGGGCACAGGGAAAGGGAUGAGGCUUCCUCUGGUUCUAUCAUCAUCGCAAUAUGAGGCUAGGUCAUCUAUUAUUAGAGUAUGAAAAAAUCAUCCACUUUCACUACUUCAGUCAGCUAGCUUUAGAAAGAGGGAAUGAGAUAACCUUCUCUUUUCACGUCUCAUCCGUAAAAUCUCUGUCAGAGAAGAAUUGGGAAUACAGAAAAUUCAUAAAUCCGCCUGGGGAUGGUCUUAGCCCAAAGACCACACCCUUUGGUAGUCCCGCUCCUAGGUAAAUUACCUUCCUGCCUUUCCCGCCUCACCGAGUGCACAAGGUGUGAAGGUGCCAAUGCAAGGGGUAAGAAGACCAGAUUUUCAUCAGUGGUGGUAGGGCCCAGAUCCUCUUCCUAAACUCGAGCUGGAGAUCAUGACUCGCAAUAUUCUUUGCGCCUCAGCUUGAUUUCAGUUGGAAGGUGGGCUUUCUUCUUCUUCUUUCUCUUUAUUUUGAUAUUGAUAAUCAGAUGUUCAAUCUGGUGACUUUCUCACAAGGAAUGGACUUACGUCUGGACAAGUAAACUUUCCUUAUUGCGCUUUCACGGAGAAAUCCAUUAUUGAAAGAGAAGUUCUUCAUCACUGGACCACCCACCUGGUGGGUGGGUAUAGUAGUGGCAAUGGACAUCAAAAGGCAAUUCACAUUCUUUAUGGAGAAGAAAUAGGGAUAGGAUAGGGACUUACUAAGCCAUUUCAGGCAAUAGACAGAAAGAGAAAAGCCAAGAUAAGAAGGAGUUUCACAGUCUUCAGUGCUUUCAACCCAGGAGAAGGCACACCAAAAGCCUCGUAUGCGGAGUAGCAGUCUUCUCAAAGAGAGCCUUGUCGUCGUAAGCGAAAUCAUAAUCGCUGGCAACAAUGGACAUUGCCUUCUUAGCCCAAGAACUAGGCAAAGACGAAUCCUUGAACUUCACUCGAGCUAGUCAUUGGAAUCCUCAUGAUAGGCACAACCUUCACCUUAAGAGGCGCUGGAAAGCUUUUAUACUACUUGAAAGUAUGAAUAGAAAGGUCAAUCACUUAUGGCGCCUCCAAAAAGAGAGUUUCCCGCACGGACGAUCGAUUCUGAAUUCUUGGUUGUACUGGUUUUGAUUCUUAGGACCAAGAUCCUUUCCGGUACAUAAGUUUCUUAGUUCACAGUUAAGACUUUAUCCAAUGGAGUAGCUCGUCUCCUUCCUUUCAUAGUAUGAAUAAGAAGCAAAGUCAAUAUGAAAGAAAUCGGCAUUAGCCCCCUAGCUACAUUUCCUUCUUUUUCUAUGGAAUUGCCGUCCUAGGCUCCGAACUCAAAACUCCCAGAAAGCAUCAAUCAUAUUUCAUUGAUCCUUCAGAUAGUUGAUCUUCCGCCCCCUAUUUAUUUAUGGAUGUUCAUUGACCGAAGGCGCAAAGAAUAUUGCGACUAUUCUUUAUAUAUUGAUUAGCUGACUGAACUUUCUUUUCUUAUGUUCUCAUUCCGUUCUUAGAAUAUCCGUUCUUUGCCUUUCCGCUCUUCAACGACCCCUACAAGACUUGCUUUUGGGGAAUUACCGCUGUUUCACCUAUGUGACUGAAGGUGGGGGCAGGGCUAGAACUGAUCUGGCUCUACCAUACCAGUAAACUUCCGAACCAGUAAAGAAGAAAAGGCAGAACCACAUUAAUUGUGUAAAAUCAGUGAAUUGAACUAUCAGAUAAAUAAGGAAAAGGCUCUGAAGCAAGGGAAUGCAGAAUCCUAUAUUCGAAUGAUAUUCGAAAGGUAGAGCAGCUACAAAGACUAUUAUAAGUAAGGAAGUAGUUUCAUAGCAAACCAAGCAAGAAGCCUAGCUAGUGAAGAAAAGCCACUCUAUCUCACCCUAUGUCCUUCCUUUCUCUAAGAUGAUUAAGACUAUCCCCUUUAUCUAUCUUGUCAUCCUGCGUAAAUCCUAAUAAGGAGUUCUUCUUCCUCUCCAGAGUCACUGAAUUCCUCUUCUCGCUAGUAGCCAAGUUCUUCAGCUCUUACUCCGUCAUAGCUUUAUUGAAAUAAGUAGUUAGCACCCUAUUCAAUAUUUCACCUUGCUGGCUGUGAGUUAAACAACCGCAAAUGCUGCUUGAGCGGGGAAAUGCUAUAGCUUAGAAGCAUCUCACAGCUACAACAACCGAUAUAUAGACAGCUCUAGCUCGAUAAGGAUAAUUGAACUAACCUGAAAUAGGAUGACGGAACUGAGAAAGCCUAAGCGUCAGUAGGAUAUUCCUACAGCACCAAUAUCAACUAAUAAGACUAGUCGCCCAUAAUACGAUAAGUAGCUUGCACUACUUUCUAUUCCUUUCAUUAUGUUCGCACAUAAAAAAAACUAGGAGUUCUUGAAUACCAAAAAGAGAGACUGCAGGAAAAGAAAGAAGAGGAAUUGGAUUCCCCAGAGCAGCCCGGAUAAGCCAUCCUGCAGCUUCGCUCUGCUGCCGCCUCUUCCUUCCUUCUAUGUGAUGUACUCUAGCAGCAUUCAUUCCUUUCAUCCUUUAUGUUCGUUCUCGUUCGUGCACCUGUCCCCAAUGGAAGAAUGACGAGUCAUGACGAGCUAGACUGAUGACGCUCUUUCAAGGACCGGAUUCUAUAAUAAGAUGAGUUGCUUCGGAUGUGUAUGAGAAGGAAGCUUGUGGUGCAAGCAUUUUUUCAAAUCAGGUAUAGCAAGGGAGUUCGUGUCUUCCUCUCCUACCUAGCGCACUAUAAUAGGUAGCAUGGAUCAGUAAUCUUGUUGUAUAGCUAGGUCUGUGAGAGCUGGGUUCCUUUGUCAGUCAGUCUCGGUAGUUCAGUCAGAGCGAGAUCCGUGGCAUAGCUCAGUUACUUGAUGGAUAGAUGCUAGUGUCGCUAGAUCAGUCGUCUAGUUCGAUCAGUUGACAGUGGAGUAGUUCUCUUAUAGCAUGGGUAGCUCAUUAGUACAGAGAUGAGAAGGCUAGCGAGAGGGCUUCUUCCAUACAUUGUCCGAUCACUCAUGAAAGAGGCCACCUAUGCAUGAAAUGAGUAAAGCUCGCUUUCCCCUAAUCUAAUGGCAGGAUCGACAAAACGAACUUGAUCGACCAAUCCCCUGGUUUCAUUUCUCAUGAAUAGUAUGAGACUGACUCAGCUCAGAUGCUGUGAUCCGGGAGAAUUCUCCUCUUAAAGCACCUCCCGCAGGACUGGAUUUGAGUUCUUCACCGAAAACCAAUUCUCUAGCGCCGACGUCCGUAAAUCGGACAACUCUAAGAGCUUAAUCAAAGACAUCAAUGAACAGAAUCAAGGCUCAAAGAAUAUUGUAUGAGUUCUAAGAAAAUAUUAGUUCUCAACAAUAUCCCUGUCUUAUGGGGCCUUCGUAGCUUAAUAAAUAAAUAGGGAUCUAAAAGCGGUCGAUGAGCAAAGAAUUAGGGAUAGCUCUGAUUUUGCAAAACAAAGGCGAGGCGCAAAGAUCUAUGGCCCACGUAGCGGUGCCAUAAGACAGGGAUAUUGCGGAGUAUUAUUCCACUAAAAAGGUCCAGGUGCAAAGAAUAUUGCCUGGAACUUGAAUAAGGAGCGUAGCGGAGUAGCGGAGCGGUGGGUUCGGUGGCUUCGCCCUGCUUCGCCCUUUGUUUUCCAGCCAGCGUAGCGGACACCGGACACCUUUCUUUUCUCUUUUCCAGCGUAGCGUAGCGGAGAAAUCAAGCGGAAAUCCUCUUUGAACCGCGGAGUGGGGAUUUUCAGCCUAGCGUAGCGGAGCGGUGGCUCUCCCUAUUAAUAGAACUUUGUCUUUGUACUUGGUCAAAAUCAAGCGGAAAUCUUCCUGUCCUCCGGACUAUCCAUUAGAAGCGCCUCUUGUCGAGUAAGAAAGGUUCGGUAAAACUCUCGGGGAUUCCUUAUUCAGUUUAUUCCUUUCAUAUGAAACCGCGAUACUUUUCAUUGACUUCCUUCUCUUUCUUCCUUUUAUUCCGUUUCGGAUUCUAGAAUCUUUCCCCGCGUAGUGGGCAUUGACUUCUUCAUUGAUCUUCCCCGCUUGAUUUAUGGAUGUUCAUUGAUUCCUCUUGUUUUUCUUUUCUUCUUAUAUCCUAUUAUGACUUGAAAACCACUAAAUCUUUCUUCCAAAAUCUACUAUAAGGAGGAGUUCAAACCUUUGCCUUUUUAUUCUAUUCCUUCGCCUAUUUUUUGGUCUCAUUGACUUCUAAUGGAUAGUCAUCUGGACCUUUCUUCUUUGACCGCCUUGAUUUUUCAUAGCUGGAAUCCUAGCCAAUAUUUAGGAAAAGAAAUCCGCCUUUUAGCCACUCUAUUUGAUUGAUAUUAAUCGUGUAUUCGCGCGGACAAGGCACACGGGGAUUACGCACCGGGGACGAAUUCAACCUCAGUAUGAAAACAAGGCCCAAUAUCAUAAGCCAAAGGCGUGAAGCCACUCACAACCCACUACGCGGGGAGUCGCUCGGUCAGCUUGAGCUUUACCCAAAUCGUACGCACGAACACAGCUCAAUAGGGUCACAAAGGGGUAGGGUAAGCAGAAAGAGCUUCAAGAUACAGCAUUCUCAACUGAUAAAGAAGAAAGCGAAGCCAUAGGAGGAAGGGCAAGAAGACAACCAGGCGCAGAAGAAAGAUAAGCCAGAAUAGAAUGUAGUAGAUUCAUUCCUUUGAUCUCAGGCCGGGGACUGACUCUGAUGAAGAAAGGGAUGAAAGGGGGAAAGCAUCCUAAAAUGAGGUUGGCUUGGAACAUCUUUUCUCAAAGGAAAGGAAAGAAGAAUCCACAUCCACUGCUUAAACGUAAUUCCCCUAGGCUGAUUAGCCCGCCCUGUCGAUCGUGGGAGAUCUUUCAAGGUUGGGGUUCGUGCAUGAACAAAAAAGAGAGAAGUCAGAAGACCCGAGGUGGACUCGUUGGAAUCCGCCCUUUAUUAUAUUAGUGCGAAUGCACAAUUUGCAAGGUUUUGACUCCCUCGCUCCUACGCCUUCUACGUCUUCCUUCUUUUUUCCCUUUUCGGAACCCGUCAAAAAGAGUCAAAUCAAUGAAGGAGUACAAUGAACAAGGGUUCAAUUCCUCUUUAUUCAGUUCCACGCAAUCGCAUAUUUCAUUGCGCCUACUAACCGUCCUCCGGACUAUCCGUAUGAACCUAGCCUUCGGACCAGCUGACUGAUUUAUGGAACGAAUGGACGCGUAGUAGGUUUGGAAGGAAUUGCAUUUUGAUGCCAGAGAAGACCGCUACGUGGGAAAAGCCUAGUGGAUAGUCAAAGAAAGGUCCAGGCGCAGGCGCAAAGCAAAGAAAGAAGCUCAUUAACUCGAAUGAAAGAAUCAUUAUGAUUGAAUCACCCAUAACCUGGAGGGAAAUCCAGAAUAGACCCGUAUUUCUCCGGACCAUAAACUCAAACUAGAACUGAUCCAUGUGAAUUUCUGGGAUAGGCUUGAUUCUUUCAUUGCGUUUUCCCGGCUUUUUUGCUUCUAAAUAGGACUAAAUCAAAGAUUGAUAUUUAACGAAAAUUGUCUAAAAAUGACGGAUUUUUCAUGAUUUCUUGCUACUUUAUAGGCCCAAAACCUAGCAUUUUCUUGUAUUUCCCUCCGCGGAUUCAUCUUCAAUCUAGCUCUUCAAUCUAGCAGAUUAAUCUGAAAUCUAGCAGAUUCAUAAUUCUUCUUGAAUUCGAGUUAAUGAGCCCGUAGUUAGGAGUAUUAAGACCGGUCCUACGUCCAUUUAUCCUCCGGACUAUCCGUAAUUAACCGAACUUUGCGCCUUUCUUUUUCUUCCGCUACGUGGGGAAUCAAUUUCUUAAGAAUCUUCUCAACAAUAUCCCUGUCGAUAAUUCAGGCUUCGGACCAGGCUCGACUGAGAUGGAGGAGAGGACUAGAAAUAAAGAAAGCACUACGCGGGGGGGAAGAAUGGAUAUUGUGCUAGGCGCAAAGCAAGCCCUUCUAAUGGAUAGUCCGGAGGCGCAAUUCAAUAUGCGAUCCUUUUUUUUCAAUUUCGAAAAGAUGAAAACUAGUUAGAUCAAUGGAAUGGCUAGUAAACUGCUGGAUAGACUUCCUUUAUCAGAUUAUGAACUUGACUCCUAUAAUUAUUUAAAUAGAUGGAACUCUUACUUGACGAACUGAGGAUGUAUUUGAUCCCUCGGAAAAAAUGAAUAAUAGAAUUUCCCCCCGGGCUAACCUUCUUUCUAUUUGUUGGUGGGACAUUUCAUUUCCUUCUCACGCAAUAUUCUUUGCGCCUUUGUCUUUGUCAUCAGCGAAGGUAGCUCUCUAAAAAGUACUUUGAUGCGAGAAUGGAUUCUUCCGAAUAGGUAGGGUUCCAUCUGUGUGCCAAGGACUUGUUCCCUAAAGAAGGAGGGAGAAAGAGCCAUUGCCGCCCUCUACCGCCUUUGUCCCAGCGCUGGCUUGGCUUCAAAGUGGAAAGUAGGCGCAAAGAAUAUUGCUCAAGAAUAUUGACGCUCCGUGCCGAUUAUCUGAUCGCUCAUCCAUGAGCUAGCGCUUGAAUGAAACUAAUCCCUUCGACCCCACGUAGCGGUUCGUUCCCAAUCUCUAUCGUCAAAUAAGAUAUAAGAGGGCUCAGACGAUGUUCUCUUGUCCCCUCGGGAAAUUCGAUGAAAUCAUCCCGCAGGACGCGAACCAGGACUGGCCGUAGGUUAAGAUAGUUACCUAUGGCAAAUAUGGGUCUCCUCAAUAGAACAGGGCCUCUGACCGAGAGGUCGUUAGACUCAAGCAUGUCCUAUCCUCUUUUCAAAGCAAUCCAAGGUGGUGUGAACAGCCUAUUGCAUUUAACCAAGGCGGACUCGUGGAGCCCAGAGAUCGCCUUGCCUUGGGACCACUCUUCCCCUAGUGCAUUGCAUGGACGGAGACAACUAGGUCUCGCCAUGAAGCAAGCUCAUAGGGAAGAAGGCAGGCUUUAGCCAUGGCCCCUUGCCUGUCCUCUUAGCAGCCUUGGAAGCAUACUUUCCUGUACUUCCCGCAUAGUGGUCAGAGCUUUUUCCAGGUUGGUUUGAAAGUCAACCCGAGACGAUCUAUCCAGGGUACAUACCUCUCUGUCGAGCAUCGGGAGAUUGUCUUUUAUAGGACCCACAAGCUCAAGGACAGAGUCGUGGUCUGAGACAGGAGUAAGCUGAGACGCAAAUGUCGACUUGCUUACACCUUUUGCCAAAAAAGUAGAAUCUUCUAAAUAGAGAAUACUGAAAAAAACUUCACCAACACCAACAUAUCAGAAGGUAGUUGAAAAGGGGCUUUAAUGCGCUUGCUUACUCGAAAGAAUAAGGAUUUAAGUAGCCGAAUCGACAUCUUUCUCUUCCAAUCCAUCCUAUUGAUCUGAUUGUAAGGUAAAUUGGCUGAAUUCCUAUCCCCAACUGCGGUUCUUGCAAAGAGCGCUAAGCACCUCUUACUCUAAUGAAAGGCCUUGGUGAUUCGAAGAUUUGCAACUCGACCGCAUACAUAAGAAAGAGAGGGAGCCCUUGGUCAAAGGAAAAGCCAUAACCUGCCUCUUUAUUUAUGUACGUACACCUUUCUUUCAAGGUGGGGCCGCCUCCUGCUAAUCCGGCCAUUUCCGAACCUUUCUUUCCCACCCCAUUCAAUGCAAUGGAGGACUUCUCAAUUCUUGCGAUUCCCAGCCCCCAAAAAAAAAGACUCAAAAAGGCAAGGCUCCAAGAAUGAUCGGAGACCUAGAACUGACCCACUACGCGGUCGGCGAAUAAGUUGCUUUCGAAAUCUUCUGAUCGCCAUUCUCUUCUUUCUUCUUUCUCGUAAUUCCCGCCGAACUAGGAGUUUGAAGAUAGAAGUCUAAGGCCAACUUCUCUAACUAUUUACACCGAUCUCAGUUCUUGCGGACAAGGUCUCCACUUCCUUAUUCUUUUUUUUGAGAAUAUGUGCUAUAAUGAAUGAAUUCUAAGGAAAAGCUAGAGUACUAAAGAAGUUAGAGUAACUAAAGAAAAUUAGCCCUUAGAUUAACCCCAAUGCAGUAGAGGGAGAGGCUGAAAGAAGGCGAAUAGAAACUAGAAUGAAGGGGAAGGUGACCCUCGGCAGGAAAAGGCUGCUAAUAGUGAUCAGGAAGGUUCUCUCGCAGGGGAGUUUUAGAUAUUAUGUCCCUUGCUUAAGAAGAAGGUGGAGCGCUUGCUCUUGCUGGAAAAGCUCUUUCUUAUGUUCCAGGGUAGGGAAUUUCUUCUUGACCUGCCUGGCGUAGGAGGCUGAAUUCCCCUAUUAGCCGUUUUUAGGUUCAGACUUUGGAGCAUCUUCAUUCCCUUUCUGAUAAUGAGAGGAAAAGUAUGAUUUGUUCUCGUUAGUUAGCAACUCGAUUUAGAGAUUUGACUGUCCUUUUCACUGAUUCAAGUUGUUCACUUUCGGGCAAAACCUAGUUCAUUGGGAUUCUCCCGCUCCGUGGGAAAGAGGAAAUGGGGAAUUCUCAUUCUUUCGAGUCAAAGCCAUAGGCUUCAUAGGAUAAACUUAAGGUUCAAAGUCGCAUCGCAAAUUCUUUGCGCCUCCGUUUUAGAGUCCUUCCUUCCAUAUGGAUGGUCCUACUUCGGUUAAUUACGGAUGGUCCUACUUCCAUAUGGAUAGUCCUCCUUCUAAUGGAUAGUCCUACGGAUAAAUCCUCCGGACCCUGGACCUUUCUUUGGCACUGCGGACUCCGGACUCCGGACCUAGACACAAUUCAGAAAGAAAGUGAAAAUUCCAUAAAGGGAAUUGCAUUUUGAUGCCUCCGUCCAAAGAUCAAGCGUAGCGGACCUAGGCUUUCUCUUUCUUCCUUUAUUUAGAACCUACGAAAGAAUCAAUAUAUAAAGAAUCUCAAUUCAUUCAGCCUCAAUAUUCUUGAGAAAUCUUCUUCUCAUAUUUCAUUGACCGUUAGGUCCUCCGGACAGACGGGUUAAUAUGGAUAGGACUGAGGACGGGAUUUCUCAAUCUGAAAAGAGCCUUUCUUCUUUUCCGCAAUAUUCUUUGUGAUCGCCAUUCUAUUCUCUUCUUUGCAAAGGCGGAAGAUCAGUCUUAUGGAACUGAAAGAAAGGAGCGGGAGGCGCAAAGAAUAUUGCGAGAAGCAAGGGAUCUCGGAGCAGACGCGUAACUGAAUAGUAGAUAAUAUGCUGGGAUCGGUUAUCAGCGAGAAAGAAAUAGGAAGUAUCCGUUGCCGAAGAAAGGAGAGAAGGAGCUCGAGGAGCAAAGAAUAUUGCGAGGUGAAAAGAAGAUUGAAUUCUUCAUUGAGGCGGUGGAACCUAGGAGUGGGACCGGUCCAAAAAGAAAGGUCCAGGCGCAGGCGCAAAGAAUAUUGCGAGGUGCAGUCUAAUGAUGGAUAGGACUGAGGGCUCGACUGAAAGGAGAGAAGGCGCAAUUCAAUAUGCGAGGUCCAUUAGAAUUAGGCGGUUCAGAUCUCAUAAUUAAUAAGGAAUAAGAAAAAAGCCUACGGCUGGGCCUGAGUAAAUUCUGCAUUUUCCCUCUUCCCCGACCAGUUUAGUUGUUUUUGGACAUUCUUUUCUUUCUCUCUUAUGUUUUUGAAUGCAUAGCAAUUCAAAGAAUGAGAAUGCAAAUUUUUGAUCUCGAUAUGCAAGAAAAGCAAGUGAAAAUCAACUAAUAUUGAAAUUCUAAGGGGUCCAGAUGUGUCACAGGUUCAUAUGGAUAGUCCUUCGGUCUUAAGACUCCUUUCUAUUUAAGGAUAAAGAAGUCCUUCGGACCAGCAAAAAGAAAGCGGAAAAUUUGCUGACUCAUCUGGACGAGCAAAGAUCAUUGAUAAGGAAGAUUAGAAGGAAGAUCAUCCCCAUAUUCAUUAGGCGAAAGGUGAAAAGAAGAUUUCUGGUAGAUUUCAGACUACGACUGAGGCCUCAAUGCCCACUACGCGGGAGGGGUCUCGCUCCUUCUAUCCUUUCUGCCUCUUUCAUUCUCUCUAUGUUUUUC
rnacentral:lncRNA from 1 species